AUUGGCUUCAUGUGGUAAACAUGAUUCCAUCUCUGAAGUCUCUCUCCCUUAGGAACUGCUCCCUUCCCAGAGCAAACCAAUCGCUCACUCACAUAAACCUCACAAAACUUGAGAUGCUUGUUUUAUCCAAGAACUACUUUGGGCACCCAAUUGCAUCCAGUUGGUUUUGGAACAUAACAAGCAUUCAACAACUCGAGCUAUAUUCAACCUAUCUUUACGGUCCUUUCCCUGAUGCACUAGGACGAAUGACGUCCCUCUCUUACCUGGGAUUUUGGGAAAAUGGAAACUCAGCCACGAUGGCAGUAGACUUGAAAAAUCUAUGUGAAUUGGAUACUCUGUUGCUCGAUGGGAGCCUAUCAUCUGGGAACAUAACAGAGUUCAUAGAGAAGUUGCCACAAUGUUCUUCUAGCAAAUUACAGCACCUAAAUUUGAAUGACAAUAAUAUGACAGGAAUAAUGCCACACGUAAUGGGGCACUUAACCAGCUUAGCUGCUCUUAGCCUAUCUAACAACAGCAUUAGUGGAUCUAUAUCACCAGGGCUACAGAAUUUCACUAGUUUGGAGGAAUUAUUUCUCAGUUCCAACCACCUUAGUGGCCAGAUACCAUUGCUGCCAAGAGGCCUUGUCUGGGCAUUUUCACUUCGGAGCUCCAAAUAUUAAUGUACUAAUUCUAUCCUCUAAUAAAAUUACUGGUCCCAUUCCUGAAAAGUUUUGUGAGUUGCAAUAUCUAAGUGACUUGGAUUUGUCAAACAAUUCUUUCGCGGGAGAACUUCCUAUAUGUUCUUCGAUGCCAUACCUACACUCCUUGCUCCUAAGUAACAACGAAUUUUCUGGAAAGUUCCCAUCCUUGAUCCAAAGCCUCUCCAAUCUAAUUUUGCUUGAUCUUUCAUGGAACAAAUUCUAUGGGACAUUACCAACAUGGAUCGGACAUCUGGCAAAGCUGCGAUUCCUAGAUCUGAGCCACAACAUAUUAUAUGGGAGUAUUCCAGUGAAUAUCACACAUCUUAGACAACUUCAACUCUUGAAUUUAUCAUUCAACAAUAUAUCAGGAUCAAUUCCUCAGUCAUUAUCAAAGCUAAUGGCAAUGACAAAAACGCAUAUGCCCGGACCUAGAACUAAUGGACUUGAUUGGUACUGGUACGUACCUUGGGUAAAUAGUGAGUUCCUAGAUAUUAUGUCUGCAGUGACGAAGCAUCAACAACACAAGUAUGCCGCAGAAAGUAUUUUAUAUAUUGUUGAUAUCGACUUGUCUGUCAAUCAUUUAGCAGGAGGAAUUCCAGAUGAAAUGGCUUCUCUUGACGGAUUGAGAUACUUAAAUUUGUCAAGGAAUUGCUUGAGAGGAAACAUUCCAAAGAAUAUUGGCGCUAUGGAAUCAGUGGAAUCAGUUGACUUCUCAUGGAACAGUCUUUCUGGUGAAAUCCCUGCAAGCUUGUCGGACUUGACAUUUUUAAGUGUCUUGGACUUGUCAUAUAACAAUCUAUCAGGAAGAAUACCGUCUGGGCGUCAGCUUGAGACCGUCUACGACAGCAACCCAACUAUGUAUGAUGGGAAUAAUAAUCUCUGUGGACCCCCUCUUCAGAGAAAUUGCUCAUCAGGGAACAGUGAUCCUAAGCAUGGUAAUGAAAAGGCAAGCGGAGAGAAUUCAGAAUCAUUGUUCUUUUACUUCGGACUUGUAUCAGGGUUCGCAGUUGGCCUCUGGGGGGUGCUGUGUGCUCUACUCUUCAAGAAGCCAUGAAGAACUGCUUUUAUCCAGUAGCAUAUUUAUUGUUGUGUAAUCAUACAUCAUCAUCUUAAUUUGAGGCCGGCACUCUGUUGGGGUCGGAUAUAUUAAUUGGAUUACGAAUCGCACCGUCUGUUUUCACUCACGGCUUACAGAUCGUGCUCUCUUGCGAAACCAAGCAAGCAGUGGCUGGUGGGGCGAACUACUCUGCCAAGGUCCCUUCAGAUCUAAGGCGAGGAGGAAGAGCGGACGAGGAGAGCGAGGCGUGCGUAGUAGGCUAGUAUUGCCAGUCAAUGUUGGUCAGCUUGCUGAAUGGAAUUGCAUGUGGGAUCAGCGAGGUCGUACACCAUUAAUAACAUAGACGGCAUGCAUGGCUCGAAAGCCACGUCACUAGCAUUAUUUCUCAAACACGAAACCUAACCAUUAAUAAGGCUAGUAGGUUCACGGGGAGUUUUAUCGCAUUAAAUUCGAUGCUAUAUCAUCAACUUUGCUGUCAAAACGAGAAGAGAGAAGGAAAGAGUUAUAGGGAAUGUGAGAGAAGUUUCAUUACCCUAAAACUCACGUGGUAUAGUUAUCUAGUUUAGAGGCGGGCUCAGAAUUGGAAGACUGGGUAUUCAAAAAUUCAAAAUCUAUAAAAACUUAACGGUUUCAACACUAUUUUUUAGCAAAAAUAUUCUUAAAUACCAUUGAUUUGUAAAAAUAAUGGGUAUUCAGUGAAUAUUCUGACCCAUUCCUGAUCUGGUUCCCAAUCUUGAUAAGUAUAUUAUAAAAUUGUACUAUAAAAUUGUAAAAUUGUGCACUGAGACUGUCAUAACGAGGCAUGUAUAAUGUUUCUGCCAUGCUUGCUUGGUGGGUCCAUUCUUGUAUUGGUCACGUCACGUCGGGAAGUUCCCUAAACCGGAGCAGCAGCCACCUUGCAUUCAUCAGUUCGUCGCCGUGUCAACAAGACACCAACGACCGCGGAUGACGGAGCAGGCGGGAGGCGGGAGGCGUGGGCUUUCAUCGGGCUAGGCAGGAACUCCUUCCUCCCUGUAUCAUCAAGACAGCAACAUUAGUGCCGUAUCGGUUUGCUAACCUCGAGGGGACCAGGCUCAAAUAAGCGCAACGCGGCCCACCCGUUGGGGUUGGAAGGAGGAAAACAGGCCUGAGCUUAACGCAGUUAAAAGCGCGAUUGCCUCGGGUUGGUUGGUGGACUAGGCGUGGGCUCUCUCUCGGCCCAUACCAAUGACGACAUCCGAAACUCUGGGCCCCUCCCACGCAGCUAGGCACCGGGCUCCUGGUUAACACAUCGCCUCCUGGCAAACAUGUACAAAAUGGGCUUUUGCCUCGGGAGAAGGCCUCCGGGUGCCGUGGAGCCUGCUGCUGCUUCUUCUUCUUCUCGUGGCGCAGCGUUGGGCUCGACCCAGCCCUCCUUCCAACUCCACCCCCAACCCUUUUUGUUUUUUUUUCUUCUGCGCUUGUACCACGUCAGGCCAAAUGGCCACAGUGCAGUUUCACAGUAAAGAAAGAAAACAAACCUUGCAAGUGCAAGUUGUCCUCCACAUGAGCGCACUCGUAUGGUAGUAAAAGUGUUGGCGGAGCAACACCUCUAGCUCUUUCUCUAAAGAAGAAAAGAAACAGAGCGAUUCAUUCCUGAAUUGCUAUGAACACAAGCGCGCGUGCGUUCAGUGGUAAUGCAGGUUCCCGCGCACUGAGGGUAAUAGUAUCUCCAACCUUUUCUCUACCAUGUGUACGAACGAUGUGAGUGUUGUGUGCGUCCUUGUAUGUACCCUUAGAAAGAUCCCCAGACAAUUUCACAGACCUCUUUGCGGGGUGAUGCCAGAAGAGGAAUACGAGAUGCCCUUUUGAUCUCUCCGAACACCUGGUGGACGUGUGUGCAAAAACCAAGCCUAGCUAAGAUGCAGCGGCCGAACACAGUUGGGCGUGAGAUCACGAUGCAGACGGCGGACGGGCCGAGCGAUGGUUCCACGGCCAUCCCCAUCUCCAUUUUCCGGCGAAGGGGACGGAGCAACUUGCGGGGGGCCAUACAUGUGUGACUCCAUGAGGCUUACAGAUUUUAGAUCAGUGGCGCCCCGGUUGCUCUACGAUCUAGUUGGUAUCGUCUUCGCAAAUCUCUGCUGGAUUGAAACCGGGUCAAUGUCGACGAUCGAGAGAGAGAGAUGGCCGUAUGUGAGUGUUGUGUGCGUCCUUGUAUGUACCCUUAAAAAGAUCCCCAGACAAUUUCACAGACCUCUUUGCGGGGUGAUGCCAGAAGAGGAAUACGAGAUGCCCUUUUGAUCUCUCCGAACACCUGGUGGACGUGUGUGCAAAAACCAAGCCUAGCUAAGAUGCAGCGGCCGAACACAGUUGCGACGGCGCUGCCUUUUGUCCGCCACGCUAAUCCAACAAAGCAACUCCACGUAAAAGCCAUUCUAAAGCUUGACGACGAUAGGUAACGACCAGACACACUCAAGAAACAGAUAUGCACAAAAAAAUGUGCUACCUCUGCUCUAAAAUAUAACAACUUUUUAACCAUCUCUAUCACAAAAUAUAAAAACUUUUUAACCAAGUUAAAGUUAAAUAUUUUCAUCUUUAACCAAUAAUAUCUCAAAAAAUAAUUACUUUUAAAUAGAAAAGGUUAUAUAUUGGUUUCAUUAUGAACAAACUAAUAUCACUUUUAUAUUAACAUUUAUAUCUCCAAAUAGAUUUAGUAUGAAAAUAUAUUACAUGAUUAGACUAUCUAAUGAUACUUACUGUAUAAUAUAAUUUUAAUUUACCUUGAUUUACAAAUUCAUUUGGGUUGCUGCUACUUCCAGCAGCAUGCUGAUCAUUAGGUUGUGCUGUUGUGCUGAUUGAAGACAUACUAUGUCGGGAUUGCAGGGCACUAUUCUCCAUUUCGUGCGGACUUGAACUCCAAAAGUCGUCAGACAAAUUGCGCCUUUUUACAGAGCGCCCUUGAAUUCUUAAUCCUUUUGAAGGCUCAUCAACAGCUAUUAUUGGAGUAGGUUGGGCACAACCAAAACAACCUCUGCUCUGUUGCAAACCAGGAUCGGCCAAUAAAUGAUUAGUACCAGGUACUUGAUACAAGUAACAUGCACAAAAAAUUAAGGGCUUACACUGAAAACACAUAGUUAGAUGAUUCCCAAUACUAGAUUAGUAUAAGUUGUGUACCAGCUUGGGACCAGGCCCAGCUAUAUCCGAUCAGUCGGAAAUUACUAGGAGGUGGUGGCCAUCUUCCAGUAGGCACUAAGCAUUUACAAUUUAAGGCAAGCACAAACAAAAAACUUCAAUUGACAUAGCUAGAACCCACAAAAUGAGAAAAUAAAAACAACCCCCCAUAGUCUGUACAGAAUACGGAAACAACUGUUCUUAUUUGACUACAUAGACAAUUGAUCUAAAUAGUUCUGUUUGCAUUUACAAAACCUAACAAAUACUAAGCCCAAUUUCAUCAAGACAAUUUGAGCAAUCAUUUGUUUACGGUAUCCAGUUGGUCAAUGACUAAAUCGUCGAGGAGUAAAACACCCUAGGCAUGAAACCAAUUACAAAUAUAUACUUUAGUAGCAUUUUAGGUGCCAGUUUGUUAUUGCAGGUAACCAGCUUGCUCAGUCAUCAGUAGCCAGUAUUAAGUGAACUGCAAGUCCAUAAUUCAAAAAAGAUACCAAGUACAAGUAAUCUACAUGCACCACUCAAUUAAAUGGGCAGUUAGGUGCAGAAAUAGUAGGUAAGAAUUCCCCUUUUCUAGUUUCACAAAUAAUUGUACACUAGAGUAUUGAUCCAGGAAGGCAAACAUCAAUCAGUUUCUCUUUUCUGUUGUACUGGUUACUUUUGGAGGCUGCUGAUUGCAAACUUAAGGGAGCAGGAAAGAGAAAGGAGCUUAAGGGAGACCUAACAAGAAAGCAAAAGUAUCAGGGAAAUAAACCAGCAUUGCUGGAAAAUAAUCCUAGCCACUACCGGAAAAAAGAUCUUUACCGAGUGUCAAAUAUUUUGCCGAGUGUUUUUUCUCGGGCACUCGGCAAAGAAGCUCUUUGCCGAGUGCCUUGUUUAGACACUCGGCAAAGAAGCUCUUUGCCGAGUGCCUCUUUUAGACACUCAGCAAAGAUAAUUUUCAAAUCAUAUUUUGAAGUAGUAAAUUAAUUUAAAUAAAAAUAUUUUCAACUACAAAGUUGUAUAACUCAUCAAGAUGCACAAUUCUUAUUUUGGACAUUUCUUCAUUUGACAAAAUAAAUAUACAUUUGUUCACAAAAUAUAUAUAUCUCUUUUGUAGUUUACGAAACUAGAAGAGAGAUAUAUAAGAUUUGUAAACAAUAUUAGAAUUAUCAUGUCAGCUGAAGAAAUAACAAAACAAUCAAAAUAAACUUUGUAGAUCUUGAUAAGUUAUAAGAUUUUACAGUUGGCAUUUAAUUUGAAGUCAUCUUGUCAACAAAAACUACAUCUGAAUAUAGAAAAUUUAAAAUUCGAAUUUUGCAAAUGACCUUGAAUGGAAAAACCAUCAAAAUUAAAGUUGUAGAUCUUAAAAAGUUAUGAAAGUUUGUAGUUGACAACUUUUUGAUUUGAAAUCAUUGUGUCAUAUUAAAAUACGUUUGAAGUUUUCAAAUUUGAAAUUCAAAUUUUUUAAACGAUCUCGGAUGAAGAAACUACCAAAAUAAAAGUUGUAGAUCUCGAAAAGUUAUGCCACUUUGUAGUUUACAACUUUUUCAUUUGAAUUUAUUUACUAUCUCAAACAGACAAUUUACACUCGGUUAAUUAUAAUAUGUGGAGAAUAAAAACGUAACGUUGACAUACGUGGUCCAAUGGUGUAGUGGUAGAGGGAGUUGUUUGUGUGCAGGAGGUCGUGAGUUCGAAAACUAUCAUCGACAAAUUAUGAAAAAUUGCUGAAAAAAAUGUGCAACCCAUUAGAUGGGUCACUAGUUGGAUGUGCAUGCAUGCCUCCCCAAUAAAUUCUUUCUUUUCUAUUUUAUUUUUUUGGAUUUUUUUCAAUUUACAUUUUGCCAAGUGCUUUUCUUUGCCGAGUGUUUUUUGGCACUCGGCAAAACCUUUGCCGAGUGCCUUUGCCGAGUGCCCGACAAAACGCACUUGGCAAAGACGUCUUUACCGACGAAAUCGCUGCCGAGUGCCCUUUGCCGAGUGUUACACUAAUCGGGGCUCCCCUGAUUCCGGUAGUGAAUAUAGCAGAGAUAACGGCCGGUGUAGAAGCAAGCAGAAUACGAUAGCAAAUCAAUCAUCCCCAUCAUCAAUUACAUACAGCUAACCAUAAUGAGGCCAUUCUAUUGUCCCUUCUACCGGAGCUGUCUAGGGUUAACUAGGCUUUAAGACUAAUAACAGCCAUCUCGGUGCCUGGUAAGUGCUAACUAUCCGUUCCAAACAGAGAUUACCGAGGCAACAAAUUCGAUCACGGCUACAGCGUACAGCCAAUCGCGUAGGCACAGAUAGCUCCAACCCACAGCCAAUCGCGUCGGAGCAGCAGCAGCAGCAAGCAGACAAGCCAGCAAUCAAUCAACUCAUCCCGCGUGUGUUCAGGAGAGGGCAGGAGGGAAGAGGGAGGCGUACCCGACGCAGGCGACGAAGCGGCGCACCCAGGACGAGAGCGACCCGCAGCUCAGCAGCAUAGCAUCCGGCUCUGCCGCGCCGCCGACGGCGGCCAGUCCACAGCAGUCGCGCCCGCGCCCGCGCCCGCGAUCCCCGGAACCCUACCCCCUGGGCUCUGGUUGGCUGCCACCGGCGGAUUGGGGGAUUCACCUCGCACCGUCAGGCCAGGUAUCUCAUGGUUAGUUCGUCUUCAUCAGCUUGAGUAUCUUGAUAUGGAUGACAUAAAUCUAAGUACAAUAGAUAAUUGGCUUCAUGUGGUAAACAUGAUUCCAUCUCUGAAGACCCUCUACCUUUGGAACUGCUCCCUUCCCAGAGCAAACCAAUUGCUCACUCACAUAAACCUCACAAAACUUGAGAUGCUUGAUUUAUCAACGAACUACUUUGGGCACCCAAUUGCAUCCAGUUGGUUUUGGAACAUAACAAGCAUUCAAGUCCUCGACCUAACUUCAACCUAUCUUUACGGUCCUUUCCCUGAUGCACUAAGACGAAUGACGUCCAUCUCUUUCCUGGGAUUUUGGGAAAAUGGAAAUUCAGCCACGAUGGCAGUAGACUUGAAAACUCUAUGUGAAUUGGAUACUCUGUUGCUCGAUGGGAGCCUAUCAUCUGGGAACAUAACAGAGUUUAUAGAGAAGUUGCCACAAUGUUCUUCUAGCAAAUUACACUACCUAACUUUGAAUGACAAUAAUAUGACAGGAAUAAUGCCACAGGUAAUGGGGCACUUAACCAGCUUACCUACUCUUAGCCUAUCUAACAACAGCAUUAGUGGAUCUAUAUCACCAGGGCUACAGAAUUUCACUAGUUUGCAGGAAUUAUCUCUCAGUUCCAACCACCUUAGUGGUCAGAUACCAUUGCUGCCAAGAGGCCUCGAAAUAUUGGAUUUCUCCAUAAACUUCUUGUCUGGGAAGUUUCACUUCGGAGCUCCAAAUAUUUCAAUGCUAAUUCUAUCCUCUAAUAAAAUUACUGGUCCUAUUCCUGAAAAGUUUUGUGAGUUGCGAUAUCUAAGUGACUUGGAUUUGUCAAACAAUUCUUUCGCGGGAGGACUUCCUAUAUGUUCUUCGAUGCCACACCUACGCUCCUUGCUCCUAAGUGACAACGAAUUUUCUGGAAAGUUCCCAUCCUUGAUCCAAAGCCUCCCCAAUCUAACUUUGCUUGAUCUUUCAUGGAACAAAUUCUAUGGGACAUUACCAAUAUAGAUCGGACAUCUGGCAGAGCUGCGAUUCCUAGAUCUGAGCCACAACAUGUUAUAUGGGAGUAUUCCAGUGAAUAUCACACAUCUUAGACAACUUCAACUCUUGAGUUUAUCAUUCAACAAUAUAUCAGGAUCAAUUCCUCAGUCAUUAUCAAAGCUAAUGGCAAUGACAAAAACGCAUAUGCCCGGACCUACAACUUAUCUAUUUGAUUGGUACACAAGUUGGGAAAAUAAUAAGUUCCUUGAUAUUUUGUCUGCAGUGACGAAGCAUCAACAACACAAGUAUGGCGCACAAAGUAUUUUUUCUAUUGUUGAACUUGUAAAUCAAUCAUUUAACUGGAGGAAUUCCAGAUGAAAUGGCUUCUCUUGACGGAUUGAUAUACUUAAAUUUGUCAAGAAAUUGCUUGAGAGGAAACAUUCCAAAGAAUAUUGGCGCUAUGGAAUUAGUGGAAUCAGUUGACUUCUCAUGGAACAGUCUUUCUGGUGAAAUCCGUGCAAGCUUGUCGGACUUGACAUUUUUAAGUGUCUUGGACUUGUCAUAUAACAAUCUAUCAGGAAGAAUACCGUCUGGACGUCAGCUUGAGACCGUCUACGACAACAACCCAACUAUGUAUGAUGGGAAUAAUAAUCUCUGUGGACCCCCGCUUCAGAGAAACUGCUCAUCAGGAAAUAGUGAUCCUAAGCAUGGUAAUGAAAAGGCAAGCGGAGAGAAUUCAGAGUCAUUGUUCUUUUACUUCGGACUUGUAUCAGGGUUCGCAGUUGGCCUCUGGGGGGUGCUGUGUGCUCUACUCUUCAAGAAGCCAUGAAGAAUUGCUUUUAUCCAGUAGCAUAUUUAUUGUUGUGUAAUCAUAAAUCAUCAUUUUAAUUUGAGGCCGGCACUCUGUUGGGGUUGGAUAUAUUAAUAACAUGUGGGAUUGCAUGUGGUCAGCUUGCUGAACGGAAUUGCAUGUGGGAUCAGCGAGGUCCUAUACACCAUUAAUAACAAAGACGGCAUGCAUGGCUCGAAAGCCAUGUCACCGGCAUUAUUUCUCGAACACGAAACCUAACCAUUAAUAAGGCUAGUAGGUUCGUGGAGAGUUUUAUCGCAUUAAAUUCGAUGCCACAUCAUCAAUUUUAUUGACAAAACAAGAAGAGAGAAGGAAAGAGUUAUAGGGAAUGUGAUAGGAGUUUCAUCACCCUAAAACUCACAUGGCACAGUUACCUAGAUUAGAGGCGGGCUUAGAAUUGGAAGACUGGGUAUUAAAAAAAUUCAAAAUCUAUAAAAACUUAACCGUCUUGACACUAUUUUUUUAGCAAAAAUAUUCUUAAAUACCAUUGAUUUGUAAAAAAUAAUGGGUAUUCAGUGAAUACCCUUGAAUACCCGGACCCGUCCCUGAUCUCGUUUCCAGUCUUGAUAAGUGUACCAUAAAAACCGUAAAAUUGUGCUCUGUGGCUGCCAUAGCGAGGCAUGCAUAAUGUUUCUGCCGUCCUUGCUUGGUGGGUCCAUUCUUGCAUUGGUCACGUAACGUCGGGAAGUUCCCUAAACCGGAGCAGCAGCAGCCUUGCAUUCAUCAGUUCGUCGCCAUAUCAACAAGACAACAACGACCGCGGAUGACGGAGCAGGCGGGAGGCGGGAGGCGGGAGGCGUGGGCUUUCAUCGGGCCAGGCAGGAACUCCUUCCGCCCUGUAUCGUCAAGACAGCAACAUUAGUGCCGUAUCGAUUUGCUAACCUCGAGGGACCAGGCUCAAAUAAGCGCAAUGGCCGCGUCGGGGUUGGAAGGAGGGAAACGGGCCUGAGCGGGCCUGAGCUUAACUCUGUUAAAAGCACGAUUGCCCCGGGUUGGUUGGUGGACUAGGCGUGGGCUCUCUCUCGGCCCAUACCGAUGACGACAUCCGAAACUCUGGGCCCCUCCCACGCAGCUGGGCUCCUGUCUGAGUGGCAAGGCCUCCGUGUGCCGUGGAGCCUGCUUCUUCUUCUCGUGGGGCAGCGUUGGGCUCGACCCAGCCCUCCUUCCAACUCCACCCCCAACCCUUUUUGUUUUUUCUCUCUGCGCUUGUACCACGUCAGGCCAAAUGGCCACAGUGCAGACAACAAGAGAUAAAGAUCUUUCACAGUAAAGCAAGAAAACAAACCUUGCAAGUGCAAGUUGUCCUCCACAUGAGCGCACUCGUAUGGUAGUAAAAGUGUUGGCGGAGCAACACCUCUAGCUCUUUCUCUAAAGAAGAAAAGAAACAGAGCGCAUUCAUUCCUAAAUUGCUAUGAAUACAAGCGUGCGCGCAUUCAGCGGUAAUGCACGUUUCUCCAAUCUUUUCUCUACCAUGUGCAUGAACGCGCACGCGUGUGUAUGAUGUGAGUGUUGUGUGCGUCCUUGUAUGUACCCUUAAAAAGAUCCCCAAACAAUUUCAGAAAUCUCUUUGCGGCGUGAUGCCAAAAGAGGAAUACGAGAUGCCUUUUUGAUCUCUCUGAACACCUGGUGGACGUGUGUGCAAAAACCGAGCCUAGCUAAGAUGCAGCGGCCGAACACAGUUGGGCGUGAGAUCACAAUGCAAACGGCGGACGGGCGGAGGGAUAGUUCCACGGCUAUCCCAUCUCCAUUUUCCGGCAAAGGGGACGGAGCAACUUGCGGGGGGCUAUACAUGUGUGACUCCACGAGGCUUACAGAUUUUAGAUCAGUGGCGUCCCGGUUGCUCUACGAUCUAGUUGCUAUCGUCUUCGCAAAUCUCUGCUGGAUUGAAACCGGGUCAAUGUCGACGAUCGAGAGAGAGAUGGCCGUAGCUCGCAUUGCAAUCUCGUGAAAAGCGAGAGACCUUUGCGACGGCGUUGCCUUUUGUCCGCCACACUAAUCCAACAAAGCAAGUCCACGUAAAAGCCAUUCUAAAGCUUGACGACGAUAGGUAACGACAAGACACACUCAAGAAACAGAUAUGCACAAAAAAAUGCACUACCUCUGUUCUAAAAUAUAAUAAGUUUUUGACCACCUCUGUCACUAAAUAUAACAACUUUUUGACCAAGUCAAAGUUAAAUAUUUUUCAUCUUUGACCAAUAAUAUCUCAAAAAAUAAUUAUUUUUAAAUAGAAAAGGUUAUAUGUUGGUUUCAUUAUGAACAAACUAAUAUCACUUUUAUAUCAUCAAUCUUUAUAUUCUUUUUACCAUCUACGGUCAAAGUUUAAAAGGUUUGGUUUGCACAAACCUAAAAAUAGCUAUAUUUUGAGAUAGAGGUAGUAGGAAGAAAAAAUCAGUUGGCACUAAAAUCAUGGAUUACAGGAUAGGUAGUGAGCAUAGCUCAGUUACAAAUGUGACAGUAGUAAUAUCUGAACCGCCAAAGUUCAAUUCCUCCACACCUCAAUUUUAAGUGCCUAUUUCUUCUCUCUAAUCUAAUUUUUAGUGGUGUAAUUAAAUCACCACCUAGUUCCUUCAAGAUUGGAUUUCGAGCGGCAGCAGGACAAGAAAAUGACAGAGUAAAAUUGCUGUAUCCAGCCUCCCAGAAGCAGAGCAACAAGCCCAUAGUUGAGCUUCAGAUCAUGCAUGACACGGACGCUGGAUGUUCCUUUGCCGCGGCCGUCUCCAUUGGCGACGACGGGGAGCAACUCGUAACAUUGCAGCCUAACUUUAUUAGUAGCGUCCCUGUUGCUUGCAACUGCAGAGUUGCAAUGCAGUCGCUUUCACCUUCAGAAAUCUCCACCGGAUUUAUUUAAGCCGGGUCAAGGUCCACGAGAAAGAUAGCGGUUGCUUGCAUCGCAAUCUGACUUGAAUUGCAAUGAAGUUAACUAGAAUGUUUGGAUCGCAUCAAAAACUUAAGAGCACACAAAGGUCAGACCUUCUAGCACUCUACUGGCAGAUAUAGCUUGGCUCAUUGCAAGGUAUUACAUACACACCACCACUCCGCUACCAAGUUCUUGCUACUUAUCGUGACCGCCACCUCGAGCUUCUUGUUGGUGGUGUCGCAUGGAUUGUCGCGGCAGCUCCAGCCGAACGCGAGCUGCUUGCUGCAUGAGAGGGAAGCGUUGCUGGCUUCAAGGAAAACAUCAGCCGCGACCCUGAUGGUAUCGUCAAGUCGUGGCAGCGAGGGCGGAAUGACUGCCGCCGGUUGAUAGCAUCCUCGUGCGGGCCUUCUUCCAUUUUCGGAAUAUUUUUUAAAAUUUUUUGGAUAUCCGACGCUUUAGUAAUGGUUAGUGUUUAUCAAGCGAUAUUAAAGGCACUUUUAGUACCAGGUCAUAUGACCGGUACUAAUGAUUGGUCUUACACUUUUAAGUAAUUUUGAAUAAACUGCUUUGCUGUUAGUACGUCUAAAUUUAUUGUGAAAAUAGCUGAAAAUUGCGUGACAUGAAUACAUGAGGGAGUACUACUUUGGUCCAAACGCAGCCAAAUGAAAAAGAAAAAAAAAUGCUAGCGCAACGCACAACAGACAUUGCAUGCAUGCGCUUUUCUUCAAACAAAAUGAAAUCCCAUAUAUUGUGGCUUGUUGCAGCUAGCACGCGAGUGCCAAACAGAAUUUUUAUCAGUCAUUUUAUAUUCUACAAAAUCGGUUUGUGCGAGCUUAUUACUGUGGCGAAGCUAUAUCCCCUCCAAUUUGCUAUAUCCCCUCUAGGGGUGCGCAUGCACCCACAUCAAAAUGCAAAAUCGAUUAUUAGGAGCAACUUUUCACCAUGUAUAACGAUCGAAUACAUAAACCCAUGAGGUAAGUGCAUCCCGUCCAAUUUACUCUAGUUUCGUCACUCUGAGCAUACAAAUCUUUAUGAUCCAAAUGUAGUACCUAGGUAUGUGGUCAUAGGACAAGGUCUACCGAUCGAUCGAAUCUCCAACAAGCGCUCAUAGCUUGUACUUGUUGUGAUCGUUUGUAAAAACUUAUUUAAUAAAACUUAUCCUCCAUGCAUAUGUGUGAAGGAAAAACGUUGUGAACAUGGUCGUCUGUCCAAACCUGGCAUUCCACGUCUGUUUCCAACCCCAACCGGUCCUGCCUUGGACGAACACAACAGCUUGCCAGGCAGGUCGUUGCGCAGGGGGACCAAGAUCAGACCGUGCCCAGAUCCCAUCUCCCAAGUUCAAACUGGCAGGUGAAAUCGACCCGGCCUCCUUCCCUUCCCAUGAGCUCGGCAGAAAUAGGAGCACGUGUCUAUUUGAAUCCGAGUGACUAAACUUUAGUCAUAUCAUAUCGAAUAUUUGAACAUAUCGAAUAUUUAAACACCAAUUAGAAGUACUAAAUAUAGCUAACUAUAAACUACUUGCACAUAUGAAGACUAAUUCACGAGAUGAAUAUAUUAAGUCUAAUUAAUCCAUCAUUAGCAUAUAUUUAUUGUAGCACAAUAUUGCCAAAUUAUGGACUGAUUAGGCUUAAUAGAUUCGUCUCACGAAUUAAUCUCCAUUUAUGCAAUUAGUUUUAUAAUUAAUCUAGUAAACCCAACGAAGAAAUCGUAGCUAGUCAGUGUUGGUCAACCGAACGAGAUUCCACGUGGGUCCUGCAAGGUCUGAGCACUAACCUAACCUAAUCUGUGUUUUGUCAUCGAUGGUCUACCGUGUGUGGUGGGCCGUAUCUACGAACGCGCGCCGGGCGCAUGGCGUUGUUUUUUGCCCCAGCAUGCAAUUGGGCCAGGGAUUACAUUAAUGCCGCAUCGAUUUACUAACCUCGGGAGACCAGCCGUGAUGAAGCCCACGGCGCCUCGGGGUCGGAAGGGGGCGAUUGUGGAUCGCGGGUGGGCUGAAAAUGCGCCAGCUCCGGCGCCGUGCCGCUCCGAUGCCUCCACCGUCACCCUCCACCACGGCCACCGCUAACCCGAACUUGUUCCUCAACUCCGGCCGAGCUGAUGACGACACCGGAAAUUCUGGGGAGCCUCCCACACAGCUUGGGCUCCUGACCGAGGCAACACCGAUUUAAUGCAUGCUGGGAUCGCUGCCUAUAAUGGACGGCGACUGCUAACGCAUCCAAAUGGGCUUUGCCUCAGGAAAAGGCCUCCGUACCGUGGGCCUGCUUUCUUCUCGUUGGGCAGCAUUGGGCUCGACCCAGCCCCCUCCUUCCAACUCCACCCCCACUCUCUUUUUUGUUUUUCUUCCCCUGCCAGAGUCGUAGCCAUCUCCGGAUUUGCUUGGUUCCUGUUUGUGUGGUGAGGUCAGGCUGCCGCGUCAGCGCCUCGCCUUUGUCUGCCGGCAUGACACUACACCAAAACAGCUCAAUUUCGUCGUCGGCCUACGGGAAGCCGAUAAAAACCACUAAAUUAUUUCGUCGGCUUAUCCAAGCCGAUGAAAUUAUACGUAUUUUCGUCGGCCUGACGAGUACCGACGAAAUAAAUGUUAUAUUUUCGUCGGCUUGACUGAAACCGAUAAAAAUAAGUGUAAUUUCGUCGGCAUCAUUUGAGCUACCCUAAUAGCGGCUCCCACGUAGUUUUCUUUCUUUCUCCCUAGCCGCCGCAUAGCCGCCUCAGCUCUGCCCACCGCCGCCCCCGCUGCCGCCGCCCCCGCCCGCCACGCCGCCCCUGCCCCGGCCGCCCGCCGCCGAGCUUGGGUGGAGGAGCGGUGCGGAGGAGCGGCGCGGGGUGGCCGGGCGCGGCAAGCUUGGGCGGAGGCGGCGGCGCGGGGUGGCCGAGCGCGACGAGCUCGGAGGAGCAGUGGUGCGGCCAGGCACGACGAGCUCCCUCCGCUGUCCGCCCAUGCGGAGGUCGUGGCAGGAGCGGCGCGACGCGGCCGGGCACGGCGAGCUCCCCUCCACCCUCCGCCGCACGGAGGCUGGGGCAAGGGCGGCGCCGAGCCUGCGUGGUGGCCUGGGCAGGGGCGGUGCGACCCAGCCGGCACGGCGAGUUCUCUUCGCCCGCGCGGAGCCUGGGGUAAGGGGUGGCCAAGCAGCGCGCGGCGGGCGGCGCCGAGCUCCGGCGCAAGGGCCGGCGGCGCGUAGCGGGGCGGUCUGCGCGGCUUAGGCCGAGGAGCGAAGCGGGGCAGCCGGGCGUGACGAGCUCGGAGGAGCAGCGGCGCGACCAGGCACGGCGAGCUCCCUCAGCCCGCGCGGAGGCCAGGGCAGGGGCGGUGCGACGCAGCCUGGCACGGCGAGCUCCCCUCUACCCUCCGCGGAGGCCGGGGUAGGGGAGGCGCCGAGCCUGCGUGGCGGCCUGGGCAGGGGCAGUGCCUCUCUACAGAUUCUUCUUCGCAUGGCUGAGUACAAAUCAUCGGCAUCAUCUCUCUCUUCUUCUUCCAAAGAAGCACUAGCUAGCUCUCUCAUUCCUACGAGAUGCAUAGCAGUAGCAGCAUAUCCACAUCCUGCAUCACUCAAGCAUCUUCUCCUAUCUCCUCUCAUUUUUCUUCGUCGAAGCAACACUAGCUACAGUGGCUUACUUUGUUCCAAUCGAAUUGCAUCCAAAUCCAAUCUCUAGCAGCAGCAACCCUCAAAUCAUCUCUGCUUUUCAUGCCAGUUCUCUGUUCUUUUCUCAACCACACAGGAGCAACAGCAGCUGAGCAAGGCCGCAACUUCUCGUCUUCUCUCGUCCAUCUCCCUCAAAUCAACAACAACAGCCUUUAUUGUUGUAUGGCCACUGCGCCACAUCCAGCAGCCUCCAAUACACCGGCACUAGCACGUUCUCCGUGCUCUUCAUUGCGGGCAUCAACGCUUCCAUGAAUGAUGCCCUCAACGUGUUCGAUGAAAUGGGUGCAAGGUAUACAAUUUUUCUUCCUUUUUUAAUUUUUUGCGUGCUGAUUUUGUACAGUCUCCAUCUCUAUUAGUUGUGCUGACGAAAAUGCGUUUAUUUUCGUCGCGUUUAUUCCGUCGGCCUAUUUUCUUCGGCCGACCGACGAAAAUAUAUAUUUUCGACGGUUUUCUCGCUGUUUUCGACGGUUUCUGCCGACAAAAUUAAGCUGUUUUCUUGUAGCGUGAUUGUGAGGAGCUAGGGCGACGCCAUAGGGUAAAAAUUUUUUUCCCACUAACUAAACUUAAAAUUACCAUAUAAUUUUGACAAGUUAUUUUAGUCCCUGAAGGAGUGCACCAUGGUUAAUUGGAAACUAGCUUCGCCCCUGUGCGUAGCGGACACGAGCUUGCGUAGAGCCAGCAAUGGAUCUCCUCAUCCUCAUGUCUGAUGCUGCAACUUUCACUGGAUAUUUCCUUUCAAAAAGAAAUUCACUGGCUACAGUGACCAGAACAACGGUUCCAAGCUUCUCAGUAAGAAUUCAUGGCUGGUGUUCCUUAUUUUUUUUUUUUUUUUGUAUGCUUCCAAAUUCUAUUGUGACUUGUAUUUUUCUGAAUUUUCCUUAUUGGGUUAACGUUUUGUUGCCCAUUUGACACUCUUUUGCUAGAACUUCAUAAGGAGGCCAAUUACUUGACGUGUUAGUGCGUCUUGUGGUCACUAGUCUUUAUUUGAAUAUUCAAUCACGUAGUCAACUUGUGGUGACAACUACACUACCAAGUAAUUUUCAUUCUUGCCGUGUCAUAUAAUCUCGAUUAGUGCCAUUUUAUAGUCUACUAAAUAGGUUUGGGCGAAGCUCACAUGCACCCACACCAAAAUGCAAAAUCAACAAGCAAAUUUUCACCAUGUGUAAUGAUCAAAUUCUUUUAAAAAAUUGUAUAACGAUCAAAUUCAUAAACUCACAAGGCAAACGCACCCCUUCUAAUUUGCUCUAGCUUCACCAUUUCCAGGGUUACCAAUCUUUAUGAUCCAAAAGUAGUACCUACGUCUGUGGUCAUGAGAUCAAGGUCUACCGGUCCAAUCUCCGUUCCGCGUAUGUGUGACGGAAAAACGCUGUCUAAUUGGAACCCCAUUUUUCCUUGUGUUUUCCAGCCAUGCAUGCUAGGUGUUACGUCGUUGUUAGUUGUUGCUCAGUUUACGUGGACCGCAACGUCUUAUUCCACAACUUUAUGUGGUCACCAGCCUUUGAAAAUUCUCCGACGUGCUCUUCAGUCAAUGAAGUUAGAUAGAUCUUUGGAUCGCAGCAGGAAUUUAAGAGCACACACAGCUCAGGCCUUCUAGCACUCUACUAGCAGAUAGCUUUGCUCAUUGCCAGGUACUGCAUACACAGACCACACCACUUACUAUGCAUCCCUCCGCUGCCAAGUUCUUGCUUCUUCUCGUGGCCGCCGCCUCGAGCUUCUUGUUGGUGGCAUCGCAUGGACUGCCGCCGCGGCAGCUCAAGCGGAACGCGAGCUGCUUGCCGCACGAGAGGGACGCGUUGCUGGCCUUCAAGGAAAACAUCACCAGCGACCCUGAAGGCAUCCUCUCGUCGUGGCGACGAGGGCGGAAAGACUGCUGCCGGUGGAUGGGCGUCAUCUGCAGCAGCCAAACCGGCCAUGUCCUCGAGCUUGAUCUAAGCGAUAGAAAUUUGGCAGGCCAGAUAAGUCCUUCCUUACUGUCUCUAGAGCAUCUGGAGCACUUGGAUUUAGGCGGCACAUACUUAUCUGGUCAUGAUGGUCAUUUUCCCGAAUUCCUGUGUUCUUUCAAAAACUUGCGAUAUCUCAACCUCUCGUUGUUGUCGUUUGCGAGCAGACUGCCUGCUCAACUUGGCAACCUUUCCACAUUAGAAUACCUUGACCUCACCGACGCAUACUCUUUGCCGAGUGAGGUGCCGCCUCAGCUCGGUAACCUCUCAAACCUGCGACAUCUUGAUCUCGCUCAUAAUUAUUUGUACACAACUGAUAUCUCAUGGUUAGUUCGUCUUCAUCAGCUUGAGUAUCUUGAGAUGGCAGGCAUAAAUCUAAGUACAAUAGAUAAUUGGCUUCAUGCGGUAAACAUGAUUCCAUCUCUGAAGUCUCUCUCCCUUUCGAACUGCUCCCUUCCCAGAGCAAACCAAUGGCUCACUCACAUAAACCUCACAAAACUUGAGAUGCUUGAUUUAUCCAUGAACUACUUUGGGCAUCCAAUUGCAUCCAGUUGGUUUUGGAACAUAACAAGCAUUCAACACCUCGGGCUAAGUUCAACCUAUCUUUACGGUCCUUUCCCUGAUGCACUAGGACGAAUGACGUCCCUUUAUUACCUGGGAUUUACGAAAAAUGGAAACUCAGCCACGAUGGCAGUGGACUUGAAAAAUCUAUGUGAAUUACGUACUCUGGAGCUCGAUGGGAGCCUAUCAUCUGGGAACAUAACUGAGUUCAUAGAGAAGUUGCCACAAUGUUCUACUAGCAAAUUAGGCUGGCUAAGUUUGAAAGAUAAUAAUAUGACAGGAAUAAUGCCACAGGUAAUGGGGCACUUAACCAGCUUAACUGCUCUUAGCCUAUCUAACAACAGCAUUAGUGGAUCUAUAUCACCGGGGCUACAGAAUUUCACUAGUUUGGAGGAAUUAUAUCUCAGUUCCAACUACCUUAGUGGCCAGAUACCAUUGCUGCCAAGAGGCCUCAAAAUGUUGGAUGUCUCCGUGAACUUCUUGUCUGGGCAUUUGCACUUCGGAGCUCCAAAUAUUGAAGUACUAAUUCUAUCCUCUAAUAAAAUUACUGGUCCUAUUCCUGAAAAGUUUUGUGAGUUGCAAUAUCUACAUGUCUUGGAUUUGUCAAACAAUUAUUUCGCGGGAGAACUUCCUGUAUGUUCUUCGAUGCCAUACCUACACUGCUUGCUCCUAAGUUACAACAAAUUUUCUGGAAAGUUCCCAUCCUUGAUCCAACGCCUCUCCAAUCUAACUUUGCUUGAUCUUUCAUGGAACAAUUUCUAUGGGACAUUACCAAUAUGGAUCGGACAUCUGGCAGAGCUGCGAUUCCUAGAUCUGAGCCACAACAUGUUACAUGGGAGUAUUCCAGCGAAUAUCACACAUCUUAGACGACUUCAACUCUUAAAUUUAUCAUUCAACAAUAUAUCAGGAUCAAUUCCUCAGUCAUUAUCAAAGCUAAUGGCAAUGACAAUAAUAUAUCAGGAUCAACCUGAUUGGUACGUAGGUUGGGUAAAUAAUGAGUUCCUAGAUAUUUUGUCUGCAGUGACGAAGCAUCUACAACACAAGUAUGCCGCACAAAGUAUUUUUUAUAUUGUUGACAUCGACUUGUCUGUCAAUCAUUUAAUUGGAGGAAUUCCAGAUGAAAUAGCUUCUCUUGAUGGAUUGAAAUACUUAAAUUUGUCAAGGAAUUGCUUGAGAGGAAACAUUCCAAAGAAUAUUGGCGCUAUGGAAUUAGUGGAAUCAGUUGACUUCUCAUGGAACAGUCUUUCUGGUGAAAUCCCUGCAAGCUUGUCAAACUUGACAUUUUUAAGUGUCUUGGACUUGUCAUAUAACAAUCUAUCAGGAAGAAUACCGUCUGGGCGUCAGCUUGAGACCGUCUACGACAACAACCCAACUAUGUAUGAUGGGAAUAAUAAUCUCUGCGGACCCCCUCUUCAGAGAAACUGCUCAUCAGGAAAUAGUGAUCCUAAGCAUGGUAAUGAAAAGGCAAGCGGAGAGAAUUCAGAAUCAUUGUUCUUUUACUUGGGACUUGUAUCAGGGUUCGCAGUUGGCCUCUUGGGGGUGCUGUGUUCUGUACUCUUCAAGAAGCCAUGAAGAAUUGCUUUUAUCCAGUAGCAGAUUUAUUGUUGUGUAAUCAUACAUCAUCAUUUUAAUUUGAGGCCGGCACUCUGUUGGGGUUGGAUAUAUUAAUAACAUGUGGGAUUGCAUGUGGUCAGGUUGCUGAACGGAAUUGCAUGUGGGAUCAGCGAGGUCGUACACCAUUAAUAACAUAGACGGCAUGCAUGGCUGGAAAGCCACGUCACCAGCAUUAUUUCUCGAACACGAAACCUAACCAUUAAUAAGGCUAGUAGGUUCAUGGAGAGUUUUAUCACAUUAAAUUCGAAAAUACCAUAUCAUCAAUUUUGCUGACAAAACGAGAAUAGAGAAGGAAAGAGUUAUAGGGGAUGCGAGAGGAGUUUCAUUGCCUAAAACUCACGUGGCACAGUUACCUAGUUCAGAGGCGGGCUCAGAAUUGGAAGACUGGAUAUUCAAAAAUUUAAAAUCUAUAACAACUUAACCGUUUCAACACUAUUUUUUAGCAAAAAUAUUCUUAAAUACUAUUGAUUUGUAAAAAAUAAUGGGUAUUCAGUGAAUACCCUUGAAUAUCCUCACCCGUCUCUGAUCUGGUUUCCAGUCUUGAUAAGUGAACUAUAAAACUGUACACUGAGACCGGCAUAACAAGACAUGCAUAAUGUUUCUGCCGUCCUUGCUUGAUGGGUCCAUUCUUGCAUUGGUCACGUCACGUCGGGAAGUUCCCUAAACCGGAGCAGCACCCACCUUGCAUUCAUCAGUUCGUCACUGUAUCAACAAGACAACAACGACCACGGAUAACGGAGCAGGCGGGAGGCGGGAGGCGGGAGGCGUGGGCUUUCAUCGGGCCAGGCAGGAACUCCUUCCUCCCUGUAUCGUCAAGACAGCAACAUUACUGCCGUAUCGGUUUGCUAACCUCAGGAGACCAGGCUCAAAUAAGCGCAACGCGGCCCACCCGUCGGGGUUGGAAGGAGGGAAACGGGCCUGAGCUUAACGCUGUUAAAAGCGCGAUUGCCUCGCGUUGGUUGGUGGACUAGGCGUGGGCUCGUUGGCUCUCUCUCGGCCCAUACCGAUGACGACAUCCAAAACUCUGGGCCCCUCCCACGCAGCUGAGCUCCUGUCUGAGAGGCAAGGCCUCCGUGUGCCGUGGAGCCUGCUUCUUCUUCUCGUGGGGCAGCGUUGGGCUCGAUCCAGCCCUCCUUCCAACUCCACCCCAACCCUUUUUGUUUCUUUUUCUCUGCGCUUGUACCACGUCAGGCCAAAUGGCCACAGUGCAGACAACAAGAGAGAAAAGAUCUUUCACAGUAAAGCAAGAAAAGAAACCUUGCAAGUGCAAGUUGUCCUCCACAUGAGCGCACUCAUAUGGUAGUAAAAGUGUUGGCGGAGCAACACCUCUAGCUCUUUCUCCAAAGAAGAAAAGAAACAGAGCGCAUUCAUUCCUACAUUGCUAUGAAUACAUGCGUGCGCGCGUUCAACGGUAAUGCACUUUCUCCAAUCUUUUCUCUACCAUGUGUAUGAACGCGCACGCGCGCGUAUGAUGUGAGUGUUGUGUGCGUCCUUGUAUGUACCCUUAAAAAAGAACCCCAAACAAUUUCAAAAACCUCUUUGCGGGAUGAUGCCAAAAGAGGAAUACGAUAUGCCCUUUUGAUCUCUCCGAACACCUGGUGGACGUGUGUGCAAAAACCAAGCCUAGCUAAGAUGCAGCGCCCGAACACAGUUGGGCGUGAGAUCACGAUGCAGACGGCGGACGGGCAGAGGGAUAGUUCCACGGCCAUCCCCAUCUCCAUUUUGCGGCGAAGGGGACGGAGCAACUUGCGGGGGCCAUACAUGUGUGACUCCAUGAGGCUUACAGAUUUUAGAUCAGUGGCGUCCUGGUUGCUCUAUGAUCUAGUUGCUAUCGUCUUCGCAAAUCUCUGCUGGAUUGAAACCGGGUCAAUGUCGACGAUCGAGAGAGAGAUGGCCGUAGCUCGCAUCGCAAUCUCGUGAAAAGCAAAAGACCUUUGCGACGGCGCUGCCUUUUGUCCGCCACGCUAAUCCAACAAAGCAACUCCACGGAAAAGCCAUUCUAAAGCUUGACGACGAUUGGUAACAACAAGACACACUCAAGAAACAGAUAUGCACAGAAAAAUGUACUACCUCUGCUCUAAAAUAUAACAAUUUUUUACCACCUCUGUUACAAAAUAUGACAACUUUAUGACCAAGUCAAAGUUAAAUAUUUUCAUCUUUGACCAAUAAUAUCUCAAAAAAUAAUAACUUUUAAAUAGAAAAGGUUAUAUAUUGGUUUCAUUAUGAACAAACUAAUAUCACUUUUAUAUCAUCAAUCUUUAUAUUCUUUUUACCAUCUGCGGUCAAAGUUUAAAAGGUUUGGUUUGAACAAACCUAAAAAUAGCUAUAUUUUGAGUCAGAGGUAGUAGGAUGAAAAAAAUCAGUUGGCACUAGAAUCAUGGAUAACAGGAUAGGAAGUGAGCAUAGCUCAGUUACAAAUGUGACAGUAGUAAUAUCUGAACCGCCAAAGUUCAAUUCCUCCACACCUCAAUUUUAAGUGCCUAUUUCUUCUCUCUAAUCUAAUUUUUAGUGGUGUAAUUAAAUCACCACCUAGUUCCUUCAAGAUUGGAUUUCGAGCGGCAGCAGAACAAGAAAAUGACAAAGUAAAAUUGCUGUAUCCAGCCUUCCAGAAGCAGAGCAACAAGCCCAUAGUUGAGCUUCAGAUCAUGCAUGACACGGACGCUGGAUGUUUCUUUGCCCCGGCCGUCUCCAAUGGCGACGACGGGGAGCAACUUGUAACGUUGCAGCCUAACUUUGUUAGUAGCGUCCCUGUUGCUUGCAACUGCAAAGCUGCAAUGCAGUCGCUUUCGCCUUCAGAAAUCUCCACCUCAUUUAUUUAAACCGGGUCAAGGUCCACGAGAGAGAAAGAUAGCGGUUGCUUGCAUCGCAAUCUGACUUGAAUUGGCGGGGAGCUGCAGGCGAGGAAAAUGAUAGGUGAUUAAUUAUUAAUCAAGUCCGUCUUCACAUACAGAGCCUGCUCGCAUCUUCACGCCGUCUUCACAUACAGAGCCUGCUUGGUUACCGCCACCGGACACCACUCGCCACGCACGUGCUGCAUGGCGAGUGGUGGCCGGUAACCAGGCCCAUACUUCCCUGAUUAAUCAGUGAUGUGGUUCUCUCCAAGAGCACAACUACGUUAAUUUGGCCUUGAGAUCUCUUCUACGUUUUCCUUUUUUGAUCAUCGUUUUGUUUUUUGUCAUAACUUUUUAUGGUGGUGAUGUUGUGAUCACAUCUAAUAUAUAUGGGUGAUAAAUCAAUCUACUGUUCCCAUAGAUAUAUAUAUAUAUAUAUAUAUAUAUAUAUAUAUACACACACACACACAAAGCGCACUUUUUGUCAUAACUUUUUAGAUAAGAAAAUGUAGCAUAUUAGUUCCUUUUCAGAGCUGAGAUGCUGCAUUUUUUAUCUUUUUUCAGAUAGCCACUGAUGAGCACCUACUAUUGCCAAGGCAUGAGAAUCAAAUGCCCCCCUUAAUUUUCGAGGAGAUGCGAGAACAAAUGGGGAGGGCCCUCCCAUGUCCCAUAUCAUGAGAUCGAGAUUAAGAAACCCCGCCCAUCCAAUCCAACAGCCGCCAGAUUCCAGCCAGACCUAACUAUUAAUAACAUAGACGGCAUGCAUGGCUCGAAAGUCACGUCACCAGCAUUAUUUCUCGAACACGAAACCUAACCAUUAAUAAGGCUAGUAGGUUCUUAGAGAGUUUUAUUGCAUUAAAUUCGAUGCCACAUCAUCAAUUUUACUGACAAAACCAGAAGAGAGAAGAAAAGAGUUAUAGGGAAUGUGAGAGGAGUUUCAUCACCCUAAAACUCACGUGGCACAGUUACCUAGUUUAGAGGCGGGCUUAGAAUUGGAAGACUGGGUAUUCAAAAAUUCAAAAUCUAUAAAAACGUAACCGUCUCAACACUAUUUUUUAGCAAAAAUAUUCUUAAAUACCAUUGAUUUGUAAAAAAUAAUGGGUAUUCAGUGAAUACCCUUGAAUAUCCUCACCCGUCCCUGAUCUGGUUUCCAUUUUUGAUAAGUGUACCAUAAAAACUAUAUUAUAAAACUUUGCACUGAGACUGGCAUAACGAGGCAUGCAUAAUGUUUCUGCCUUCCUUGCUCGGUCGGUUCAUUCUUGUGUUGGUCACGUCACGUCGGGAAGUUCCCUAAACCGGAGCAGCAGCCACCUUGCAUUCAUCAUUUCGUCGUCGUAUCAACAAGACAACAACUACCGCGGAUGACGGAGUAGUCGGGAGGCGGGAGGCGUGGGCUUUCAUCGGGCCAGGCAUGAACUCCUUCCUCCCUGUCUCGUCAAGACAGCAACACUAGUGCCGUAUCGGUUUGCUAACCUCGGGGGACCAGGAUCAAAUAAGCGCAACACGGCCCACCCGUCAAGGUUGGAAGGAGGGAAACGGGCCUGAGCUUAACGCCGUUAAAAGCGCGAUUGCCCCGGGUUGUUUGGUGGACUAGGCGUGGGCUCUCUCUCGGCCCAUACCGAUGACGACAUCCGAAACUCUGGGCCCCUCCCACGCAGCUGGGCUCCUGUCUGAGAGGCAAGGCCUCCGUGUGCCGUGGAGCCCCUGCUUCUUCUUCUCGUGGGGCAGCGUUGGGCUCGACCCAGCCCUCCUUCCAACUCCACCCCCAACCCUUUUUGUUUUUUUUCUCUUUGCGCUUGUACCACGUCAGGCCAAAUGGCCACGGUGCAGACAACAAGAGAUAAAGAUCUUUCACAGUAAAGCAAGAAAACAAACCUUGCAAGUGCAAGUUGUCCUCCACAUGAGCGCACUCAUAUGGUAGUAAAAGUGUUGGCAGAGCAACACCUCUAGCUAAACAGAGCGCAUCCAUUCCUAAAUUGCUAUGAAUACAAGCGUGCGCGCGUUCAGCGCUAAUGCAGGUUUCUCCAAUCUUUUCUCUACCAUGUGUAUGAACGCGCAGGCGCGUGUAUGAUGUGAGUGUUGUGUGCGUCCUUGUAUGUACCCUUAAAAAGAUCCCCAAACAAUUUCAGAAACCUCUUUGCGGGGUGAUGCCAAAAGAGGAAUAAGAGAUGCCCUUUUGAUCUCUCCGAACACCUAUACCUGGUGGACGUGUGUGCAAAAAUCGAGCCUAGCUAAGAUGCAGCGGCCGAACACAGUUGGGCGUGAGAUCAUGAUGGAGACGGCGGACGGGUGGACGGAUAGUCCCAUGGUCAGAACACAGUUGGGCGUGAGAUCACGAUGCAGACGGCGGACAGGCGGAGGGAUAGUUCCACGGCCAUCCCCAUCUCCAUUUUCCGGCGAAGGGGACGGAGCAACUUGCGGAGGGCCAUACAUGUGUGACUCCAUGAGGCUUACAGAUUUUAGAUCAGUGGCGUCCCGGUUGCUCUACGAUCUAGUCGAUAUCGUCUUCGCAAAUAUCUGCUGGAUUGAAACCGGGUCAAUGUCGACGAUCCAGAGAGAGAUGGCUGUAGCUCGCAUUGCAAUCUCGUGAAAAGCAAGAGACCUUUGCGACGGCGCUGCCUUUUGUCCGCCACGCUAAUCCAACAAAGCAACUCCAUGUAAAAGCCAUUCUAAAGCUUGACGACGAUAGGUAACGACAAGACACACUCAAGAAACAGAUAUGCACAUCGCAAUGGGUACAACAGGUACUCUCACAUCUCUUCUCUUGUUCUCCGUUCUCCCCAAUUUACCCCAACCCCAGGGACUAUUUAGCUGAUUCGUUUUCACUGCAAAAAUUGGUAGUGCUAUUUAGUUGUUUAUGCGUACGGAUGGUGAUGAGUCAUGCUCCAAAUGUUCAUUUAUAAUUCAACUCGGUAUUUUUACCACUCCUAGUUUAAAAAUAUGUAAAAUAUAAGUUCAACUCUUUUUAAGUUUGAUCUUUAAAGUUUUAGAUCAUUUAUCAUCCCUAUGUAUAUAUACAUGGUAGUAGGACUGUUGACAAUUUAGACGAAAUCCACCUCGAUUUGGAGUUUUUCUACUUCCUCCGUAAAAAAAGUGCAACUCAUUUUUCAAGAAGUCAAAUAAUUUCAAAUUUGAUCAAGUCUGUACAGAAAAUUAUUAGCAUUUAUAUCUCCAAAUAGAUUUAGUAUGAAAAUAAAUUACAUGAUUGGACUGUCUAAUGAUACUUACUGUAUAAUAUAAUAUUAAUAUUUAUUUUAUAUAAAUUAGAUUAAAUUUAAAAUUAUUUGACUUCUCGGAAAGCGUAAGUUGUAUUUUUCUUGAACGGAGGGGUUAGGUAUCUACGGAGCUCCAAAAUAUAGUAUCCGGGGGCCAGCAUCUAGCAUGUAUUCAAUUUGCUUCACCCUGCUUGGUGCAUGCCUCCUUCUUUUGCCGUUGUUGGAUUGGAUAUCAGCUCGACCAGAUGAUCGCACUCUCUGAUCUUCCCGAGCCUCGUCGUCCUUCUUCCUAGCAAACCCAACGAAGAAAUCAUAGCUAGUCAGUGUUGGUCAACCGAAUGAGAUUCCACGUGGGUCUUGCAAGGUCUGAGCACUAACCUAACCUAAUCUGUGUUUUGUCGUCGAUGGUCUACCGUAUGUGGUGGGCUGUAUCUACGAACACGCGCCGGGCGCACGACGUCGUUUUUGGGCCCAUCAUGCAAUUGGGCCAGGGAUUACAUUAGUGCCGCAUCGAUUUACUAACCACGGGGGACCAGCCGUGACGAAGCCCACGGCGCCUCGGGGUUGGAAGGGGGCGAUUGUGGAUCAUGGGUGGGCCGAACGCGCCGGCUCCGGAGUCGUGCCGCUCCGAUGCCUCCACCGUCACCCUCCACCAUGGCCACCGCUAUCCCGAACUUCUUCUUCAACUCCGGCCGAGCUGAUGACGACACCGGAAAUGCAUGCUAGGAUCGCUGCCUAUAAUGGACGGUGACCGCUAACGCAUCCAAAUGGGCUUUGCCUCGGGGAAAAGGCCUCCGUACCGUGGGCCUGCUUUCUUCUCGUUGGGCAGCGUUGGGCUCGACCCAGCCCCCUCCUUCCAACUUCACCUCCACUCUCCUUUUUUGUUUUUUCCCUGCCGGAGUCGUAGCCAUCUCCGGAUUUGCUUUGUUCCUGUUUGUGUGGUGAGGUCAGGCUGCUGCGUCAGCGCCUCGCCUUUGUCUGCCGGCAUGAUUGUGCAUAGCCAGGGGCGACGCCACGUUAAGUCUGCCCAGGGUAAAUUUUUUUUGCCACUAAUUAAACUUAAAAUUAUCAUAUAAUUCUAAGAAGUUAUUUUAGUCCCUGAAGGAGUGCACCAUGGUCAAUUGGAAACUAGCUUCGCCCCUGUGCGUAGCGGACACGAGCUUGCGUAGAGCCAGCAAUGGAUCUCCUCAUCCUCAUUUCCCAUGCUGCAGCUUUCACUGGAUAUUUCCUUUCAAAAAAAAAAUCACUGGCUACAGUGACCAGCAGGGCAACGGUUCCAAGCUUCUCAGUACAGAAUCAUUGUUGCGGUAUACUAUAUAUCCUUUCUCCGUACUGUAUCCAGCUGAAAUGCUUCCAAAAUUCUAUUGUGACUUGUAUUUUUCCGAAUUUUCCUUAGUGGGUUAACUUUUUGUUGCCCAUUUGACACGCUUUUGCUAGAAUUUCAUAAGGCCAAUUACUUGACGUGUUAGUGCGUCUUGUAUUUACGUUCCUUUGCCACCUCUAGUUACAUUGUUGUAUGUGUGAUUAUUCAGUUUUAUGUGGACCAUACAUGGCAUUCCAGAACUUGUGGUCACCGGUCUUUAUUUGAAUAUUCAACCACGUAGUCAACUUGUGGUGACAACUACACUACCAAGUAAUUUUCAUUCUUGCCGUGUCAUAUAAUCUCACAUGCACCCACACCAAAAUGCAAAAUCAACAAGCAAAUUUUCACCAUGUAUAAUGAUCAAAUUCUCCUAAAAAAUUGUAUAACGAUCAAAUUCAUAAACCCACAAGGCAAGCGCACCCCCUUCUAAUUUGCUCUAGCUUCACCAUUUGCAGGGUUACAAAUCUUUAUGAUCCAAUCUCCUACGAGCAUUUAUAGAUGUGAGUAUAACUGACUGCGUGAAGAUCCCUGUUAUGAUCAUUUAUAGAAAAAAGUAUUUAACAAAACUUAUCUUCUCCGUGUAUGUGUGAUGGAAAAACGCUGUCUAAUUGGAACCCCAUUUUUCCUUGUGUUUUCCAGCCAUGCAUGCUAGUGUUACGUCGUUGUUAGUUGUUGCUCAGUUUACGUGGACCGCAACGUCUUAUUCCACAACUUUAUGUGGUCACCAGCCUUUGAAAUUCUCCGACGUGCUCUUCAGUCAAUGAAAUUUGCUAGAUCUUUGGAUCGCAGCAGGAAUUUAAGAGCACACACAGCUCAGACCUUCUAGCACUCUACUAGCAGAUAGCUUUGCUCAUUGCCAGGUACUGCAUGCACAGACCACACCACUUACUAUGCAUCCCUCCGCUGCCAAGCUCUUGCUUCUUAUCGUGGCCGCCGCCUCGAGCUUCUUGUCGGUGGCAUCGCAUGGACUGCGGCCGCGGCAGCUCAAGCGGAACGCGAGCUGCUUGCCGCACGAGAGGGACGCGUUGCUGGCCUUCAAGGAAAACAUCACCAGCGACCCUGAAGGCAUCCUCUCGUCGUGGCGACGAGGGCGGAAGGACUGCUGCCGGUGGAUGGGCGUCACCUGCAGCAACCAAACCGGCCAUGUCCUCGAGCUUGACCUAAGCUAUAGAAAUUUGGCAGGCCAGAUAAGUCCUUCCUUACUGUCUCUAGAGCAUCUGGAGCACUUGGAUUUAGGCGGCACAUACUUAUCUGGUCAUGAUGGUCGUUUUCCCGAAUUCCUGUGUUCUUUCAAAAACUUGCGAUAUCUCGACCUCACCCACAACGCAUACGCUUUGCCGAGUGAGGUGCCGCCUCAGCUCGGUAACCUCUCAAACCUGCGACAUCUUGGUCUCGCUUCUAAUUAUUUGUACGCAACCGAUAUCUCAUGGUUAGUUCAUCUUCAUCAGCUUGAGUAUCUUGAGAUGGACGGCAUAAAUCUAAGUACAAUAGAUAAUUGGCUUCAUGUGGUAAACAUGAUUCCAUCUCUGAAGUUUCUCUCCCUUUGGAACUGCUCCCUUCCCAGAGCAAACCAAUCGCUCACUCACAUAAACCUCACAAAACUUGAGGUGCUUGAUUUAUCCACGAACUACUUUGGGCACCCAAUUGCAUCCAGUUGGUUUUGGAACAUAACAAGCAUUCAACUCCUCUUGCUAAGUUCAACCUAUCUUUACGGUCCUUUCCCUGAUGCACUAGGACGAAUGACGUCCCUCUCUAUCCUGGGAUUUCGGGAAAAUGGAAACUCAGCCACGAUGGCAGUAGACUUGAAAAAUCUAUGUGAAUUGCGUAAUCUGUUGCUCGAUGGGAGCCUAUCAUCUGCGAACAUAACAGAGUUCAUAGAGAAGUUGCCACAAUGUUCUUCUAACAAAUUAUACUACCUAAGUUUGAAUGACAAUAAUAUGACAGGAAUAAUGCCACAGGUAAUGGGGCACCUAACCAGCUUAGGUAUUCUUAGCCUAUCUAACAACAGCAUUAGUGGAUCUAUAUCACCAGGGCUACAGAAUUUCACUAGUUUGGAGGCAUUAUUUCUCAGUUCCAACCACCUUAGUGGCCAGAUACCAUUGCUGCCAAGAGGCCUCGAAAUAUUGGAUGUCUCCAUGAACUUCUUGUCUGGGCAUUUUCACUUCCGAGCUCCAAAUAUUGAAGUACUAAUUCUAUCCUCUAAUAAAAUUACUGGUCCUAUUCCUGAAAAGUUUUGUGAGUUGCAAUAUCUAAGUGACUUGGAUUUGUCAAACAAUUCUUUCGUGGGAGAACUUCCUGUAUGUUCUUCGAUGCCAUACCUACGCUCCUUUCUCCUAAGUAACAACGAAUUUUCUGGAAAGUUCCCAUCCUUGAUCCAAAGCCUCUCCAAUCUAACUUUGCUUGAUCUUUCAUGGAACAAAUUCUAUGGGACAUUACCAAGAUGGAUCGGACAUCUGGCAAAGCUGCGAUUCCUAGAUCUGAGCCACAACAUGUUAUAUGGGAGUAUUCCAGUGAAUAUCACACAUCUUAGACAACUUCAACUAUUGAAUUUAUCAUUCAACAAUAUAUCAGGAUCAAUUCCUAAGUCAUUAUCAAAGCUAAUGGCAAUGACAAAAACGCAUAUACCUACAACUUAUGGAUUUGAUUGGUACACAGGUUGGGCAAAUAAUGAGUUCCUAGAUAUUUUGUCUGCAGUGACGAAGCAUCAACAACACAAGUAUGGCGCACAAAGUAUUUUUUAUAUUGUUGACAUCGACUUGUCCGUCAAUCAUUUAACUGGAGGAAUUCCAGAUGAAAUGGCUUCUCUUCACGGAUUGAGAUACUUAAAUUUGUCAAGGAAUUGCUUGAGAGGAAACAUUCCAAAGAAUAUUGGCGCUAUGGAAUCAGUGGAAUCAGUUGACUUCUCAUGGAACAGUCUUUCUGGUGAAAUCCCUGCAAGCUUGUCAGACUUGACAUUUCUAAGUGUCUUGGACUUGUCAUAUAACAAUCUAUCAGGAAGGAUACCGUCUGGGCGUCAGCUUGAGACCGUCUACGACAACAACCCAACUAUGUAUGUUGGGAAUAAUAAUCUAUGUGGACCCCCUCUUCAGAGAAACUGCUCAUUAGGAAAUAGUGAUCCUAAGCAUGGUAAUUUAAAGGCAAGCCGAGAGGAUUCAGAAUCAUUGUUCUUUUACUUAGAACUUGUAUCAGGGUUCAUAGUUGGCCUCUGGGGGGUGCUGUGUGCUCUACUCUUCAAGAAGCCAUGAAGAAUUGCUUUUAUCCGGUAGCAUAAUUAUUGUUGUGUGAUCAUACAUCAUCAUUUUAAUUUGAGGCCGGCACUCUGUUGGGGUUGGAUAUAUUAAUAACAUGUGGGAUUGAAUGUGGGACCAGCGAGGUCGUACACCAUUAAUAACAUAGACGGCAUGCAUGGCUCGAAAGCCACGUCACCAGCAUUAUUUCUCGAACACGAAACCUAACCAUUAAUAAGGCUAGUAGGUUCAUGGAGAGUUUUAUCGCAUUAAAUUCGAUGCCACAUUAUUAAUUUUACUGACAAAACGAGAAGAGAGAAGGAAAGAGUUAUAGGGAAUGUGAGAGGAGUUUCAUCACCCUAAAACUCACGUGGCACAGUUACCUAGUUCAGAGGCGGGUUCAGGAUUGGAAGACUAGGUAUUCAAAAAUUCAAAAUCUAUAAAAACUUAACCGUUUCAACACUAUUUUUUAGCAAAAAUAUUCUUAAAUACCAUUGAUUUGUAAAAAUAAUGGGCAUUUAGUGAGUACCCUUAAAUACCCUGAUCCGUCCCUAACCUGGUUCCCAGUCUUAAUAAGUGUACCAUAAAACUGUAUUAUAACUGUGCACUGAGACUGGCAUAACAAGGCAUGCAUAAUGUUUCUACCGUUGGUGGGUUCAUUCUUGCAUUGGUCACGUCACGUCGGGAAGUUCCCUAAACCGGAGCAGCAGCCACCUUGCAUUCAUCAGUUCAUCAUCGUAUCAACAAGACAACAACGACCACGGAUGACGGAGCAGGCGGGAGGCGGGAGGCGUGGGCUUUCAUCGGGCCAGGCAGGAACUCCUUCCUCCCUGUCUCGUCAAGACAGCAAUAUUCUUUGGCGGGAGAACUUCCUAUAUGUUCUUCGAUGCCAUCCCUACGCUCCUUGCUCCUAAGUAACAACGAAUUUUCUGGAAAGUUCCCAUCCUUGAUCCAAAGCCUCUCCAAUCUAACUUUGCUUGAUCUUUCAUGGAACAAAUUCUAUGGGACAUUACCAAUAUGGAUCGGACAUUUGGCAAAGCUGCGAUUCCUGGAUCUGAGCCACAACAUGGUAUGUGGGGGUAUUCCAGUGAAUAUCACACAUCUUAGACAACUUCAACUCUUGAAUUUAUCAUUCAACAAUAUAUCAGGAUCAAUUCCUCAGUCAUUAUCAAAGCUAAUGGCAAUGACAAAAACGCAUAUUCCUACAGAUAAUGUACCUGAUUGGUACGUAGGUUCGGAAAAUAAUGAGUUGCAAGAUAUUUUGUCUGCUGUGACGAAGCAUCAACAACAAAAGUAUGGCGCACAAAGUAUUUUUUUCUAUUGUUGGCAUCGACUUGUCUGUCAAUCAUUUAAGUGGAGGAAUUCCAGAUGAAAUGGCUUCUCUUGACGGAUUGAGAUACUUAAAUUUGUCAAGGAAUUGCUUGAGAGGAAACAUUCCAAAGAAUAUUGGCGCUAUGGAAUUAGUGGAAUCAAUUGACUUCUCAUGGAACGAUCUUUCUGGUGAAAUCCCUGCAAGCUUGUCAGACUUGACAUUUUUAAGUGUCUUGGACUUGUCAUACAACAAUCUAUCAGGAAGAAUACCGUCUGGGCGUCAGCUUGAGACCGUCUACGACAGCAACCCAACUAUGUAUGAUGGGAAUAAUAAUCUCUGUGGACCCCCUCUUCAGAGAAAUUGCUCAUCAGGGAAUAGUGAUCCUAAGCAUGGUAAUGAAAAGGCAAGCGGAGAGAAUUCAGAAUCAUUGUUCUUUUACUUCGGACUUGUAUCAGGGUUCGCAGUUGGCCUCUGGGGGGUGCUGUGUGCUCUACUCUUCAAGAAGCCAUGAAGAACUGCUUUUAUCCAGUAGCAUAUUUAUUGUUGUGUAAUCAUACAUCAUCAUCUUAAUUUGAGGCCGGCACUCUGUUGGGGUUGGAUAUAUUAAUUGGAUUACGGAUCGCACCGUCCGAUUUUCACUCACGGCUUACAGAUCGUGCUCUCUUGCGAAACCAAGCAAGCAGUGGCAGGUGGGGCGAACUACUCUGCCAAGGUCCCUUCAGAUUUAAGGCGAGGGGGAAGAGCGGAUGAAGAGAGCGAGGCGUGCGUAGUAGGCUAGUAUUGCCAGUCAAUGUUGGUCAGCUUGCUGAACGGAAUUGCAUGUGGGAUCAGCGAGGUCGUACACCAUUAAUAACAUAGACGGCAUGCAUGGCUCGAAAGCCACGUCACCAGCAUUAUUUCUCGAACACGAAACCUAACCAUUAAUAAGGCUAGUAGGUUCAUGCAGAGUUUUAUCGCAUUAAAUUCGAUGCCGCAUCAUCAAUUUUGCUAACAAAACGAGAAGAGAGAAGGAAAGAGUUAUAGGGAAUGUGAGAGGAGUUUCGUCACUCUAAAACUCACGUGGCACAGUUAUCUAGUUCAGAGGCGGGGUCAGGAUUGGAAGACUGGGUAUACAAAAAUUCAAAAUCUAUAAAAACUUAACCGUAUCAACACUAUUUUUUAGCAAAAAUAUUCUUAAAUACCAUUGAUUUGUAAAAAUAAUAGGUAUUCAGUGAAUACCUUUAAAUACCCUGACCUGUUCCUGAUCCGAUUCCCAGUCUUAAUAAAUGUACCAUAAAACUGUACGCACUGGUAUAAUGAAGCAUGCAUAAUGUUUCUGCCGUCCUUGCUUGGUGGGUCCAUUCUUGCAUUGGUCACGUCAUGUCGGGAAGUUCCCUAAACCGGAGCAGCAGCCACCUUGGAUUCAUCAGUUCGUCGCGUAUCAACAAGACACCAAUGACCGCGGAUGAUGGAGCAGGCGGGAGGCGGCAGGCGUGGGCUUUCAUCGGGCCAGGCAGGAACUCCUUCCUCCCUGUAUCGUCAGGACAGCAACAUUAGUGCCGUAUCGGUUUGCUAACCUCGGGGGACCAGGCUCAAAUAAGCGCAACGCGGCCCACCCGUCGGGGUUGGAAGGAGGGAAACGGGCCUGAGCUUAACGCUGUUAAAAGCGCGAUUGCCCCGGGUUGGUUGGUGGACUAGGCGUGGGCUCCCUCUCGGCCCAUACCGAUGACGACAUCCGAAACUCUGGCCCCCUCCCACGCAGCUGGGCUCCUGAGAGGCAAGGCCGAUUUAUGCACGCCGGGAUUGCUGCGCUUAUUAAUGCACGAGUUUUUUUAAAAAAAAGGUUAAAAAAAUUAAAUUCGAAAAAGGGGUGCCGGUUUGGAAAAAUUCGAAAAAUGGAGACCUCCCGCCCAUCCAACAGGCGGGAGGUCGAAAAAUAUUUCCCAGGCCCGUCCAGGGGGCCUCUUUGCGAAAAAAAACUUUUCUUAUUCGCGAAGAGACCCCUGACGCGGCAUCCCGGAGGGGCAUCCAGGCCUCCCAACGGGCGGGAGGUUCCCCGGAGGGGCAUCCCGCCCUCCCAACGGGCGGACGUCCCCCCCCCCCCCCCACACACUAUUUAAGCCCCCCACCCACCCCUAAUUCUCAUAUUAUUCAGCAAAAAUCAACAAAAAAAGAAAGGGAGGAGAGGAAGAGAGGAGAGGAAUCGGCGAAGCUCUAUUCACACGUCGGUUUGGAGGUAUGUUCUCGUUCUAGUCGUAUAAUUAUCAAUUGUUUUUAGGAAUAUUUAUUAGGGUAGUUAUAUUUUGAAUAGUUUUCAGUAUUUUCAAUAGCUUUUACAAAUAUUUGUUAGGGUAGUUCUAUUUUAAAUAGUUUUUAGCAUUUUCAAUAGUUUUUAGGUAUAUUUCUUAGGGUAGUUAUAUUUUGAAUAGUUUUUAGGAAUAUUUCUUAGGUUAGUUAUAUUUUGAGGAGUUUUUAGUAUUUUCAAUAGUUUUUACGAAUAUUUCUUAGGGUAGUUAUAUUUUGAGGAGUUUUAGUAUUUCAAUAGUUGUUAGAAAUAUUUCUUAGGGUAGUUAUAUUUUGAAUAGUUUUUAGUAUUUUUGAUAGUUUUUAGAUAUAUUUCUUAGGGUAGUUAUAUUUUGAAUAGUUUGCAGUAUUUCAAUAGUUUUUAGAUAUAUUACUUAGGGUAGUUAUAUUUUGAAUAGUUUAGUAUUUUCAAUUGUUUGCAGGAAUAUGUCUUAGGGUACUUAUAUUUUUCAUGCAGAUAUGACGCAGACACCGGAGCUCCUUGAUGCGAACACCGACGAACGACACAGGUCGUACCUGGCAGCGGUGGAGGGGCAGCAGCUUCACGAGUUGCGCCCUCGUGUAGCAAAGGAGUUGUUGCACCUGGACGACCGCUGGCUUGACAGAUGAUACUUUGUAUUUUUUUACGGAACUAAUGUAUAGCUUGUACGACAAUUGUAACCACAAUGCAAAAUAUACAGAUUACGUGAGGCUGGUUUGCUGCCACUCGCACGUAUGCUUCAAGCCGGCGACGGCCAAGAUGGUGGCGUCAAGAAGCGGAUGCAGCUGGACCGCUCUCUACUUGCGGCGUUGGCGGACAGGUGGAGUCCGGAGACGCACACGUUCCACUUGCCGUGCAGGGAGAUGGCCCCCAUGUUGCAGUACGUGUCGUACCUGCUCGGGCUUCCCAUUGCGGGUGAAGCUGUUGGCCCAGUUGCCGUGCCACCUACCUGGAGGGCGGAGCUUCAGGAGCGGUUUGGUCCAGUGAACCCGCCACUUUUUGUGAACGUACCUGACGUGCUCGGCCCCGCCAAGAGUUGGGUAAUACAAUUUAGGGUAAGUACAAUUAUUUUUAAUUAAUUUAAUUGAAUCAUAUGUGACUAUCUCUAAGCAUUAAACAAAUAUAUUUCAGGCUCAGGAUCUCCACCCUCUGGCUGCGCAGUACGAGGUGUCGCGCUUCCUGGAGGCAUAUCUAUUGUGGUUGUUCGGCUGGACUCUUUUCUGCAACUCUAGCGGCAAAGGCGUACUGGUUGUCCUCCCUCUGCACACGUGACGAGACGUACUGACUCACAAAGGCGAACCUAGUAUUUGAUAUUAUCGUCGAACCAUACUGCGUCGAGCGAGUGAUGAGGCAGUUCAGGCGACGAUAACACUUUCCUCUCCUACCUCGAGCGUUCCAGGCUGUGCCGCACAAUGUACAUGAGUAAGUUUGUGAUAACUCAUUUUGUAUUAACUAUAUAAUCGUUAUCAUAAAAUAAUAUUGUCUUUCAAAUGUUUGCAACAGAUAUUCGCGCAGGGAGUAUCAUGCCAACGAGGUCAACUGGGUGGUCAAGCUGCAGGAGUACGUAGGAGGGUGGCUAGCCGCACCUGACAAUGUGUGGGACGAGCCGCAGCCACACACGGAGGCGUCUUACGGUGCAUACCUCCGCUGGUACCUCCCUCGCACACGUCCGUACAUCACUCUUUAACAUAUUGAUGACGCGGAGCUUCAGCACCAGCCGACCAUCUCGAACACGUAUCCCUCAUACCAUGAUCAGGCGCAGCGUGGCGCGGUACGUCUUUCGCAACUUGAAUUAUUAAAUCUUUUUUAUAAAAGAUCGAUAACAAUAUUACUCUGCUUCCCAUUACGUAUGCAGAUCGAUCUGUUCAACUGCGUGGAGGUCAAAGCUACAUCUCAGAUCACGUUGCUUGAACGUGGAGUACGUGUACCGGACGCACAGUACAAAGACAGCUUUCGUAAGAUUCAGGACAAUUUGACGCGAGCGUUACGUGCACUGACGUGUCGCAGCAGAGACGACGUGGGGGCCUACAAUUCAUCUCAUGCGUCCGCUCACGUGUACACAGCUGGCCCGUCGACUUCUACAGCACCGCACGCAGCAUCCAGCGAUACUGCCGCUAGUUCCAGCUGUAAGUCCUUUAUAAUUGCCAUUUCGAUCAACUUUGAUUUACACGACUAAUUUCGUUUGUUUUUAUAGUCAUGCACUCGACGGCAAUGGGACCUCCUCCUGCAAGAAUGGAGACUCAGACGUUUGGCGCCUAUGCUCCAGGAACGUCUCUCCGUCGGGUUCGACGCCAGCUGCUCCGUACUCUCAGGGCUAUACUCAGCAUGCAUGGUCGAUGGGAGCUUCUGCACACGGUGGUCUAUUCGGUGUGCUGGACUGGGACGACUGGGAGGGUGGCUCCGUCACUUGGUCGGAGUUGGUGGGCGGCGGCGCCGGGCCUGACAACAUUGGUCCCUCCCAGACGUACGACGCUCCAGGUGCACAGUCCCAGGAUGACCCGUUCACGCCAGCACCUCCUCCACCUCGUCCUCACCGUGCUCCAGAUGCAUUCAGGUACUCGGAGGACCACAUACGCCGACGGCUUAGGACUGAGGGGGGGGGGAGGACGAAGAGAGCGCGAGGUCCAGGAUGUCAGACCCGGGGCCACCGGGCUGGGCGCGUUACGAAGUUUAAGAGAUUAAGCCCGUCUCAUCUCUUAUUCGUUUUGUUUAUCUCUUGUUUAUCCCGUUUAAAUAGGAGAUAGAGCUAACCAACACAGAGAGGAUCUACUCGAGAUCAGUUCUGGUGUGAUCCCUCGGAGGGGGUUGGUUAGCAUCUUUGUAACUCUGACCUCUCGGAUAUAUAAGGGAGGUCAGGGACCCCCCUCAAAACAGAAGAUCAUUAGGUCAUUCUAUACAGAAGGCAAUACAAACCAUACAGGACGUAGGGUGUUACGCUCCGUGCGGCCCGAACCUGUCUAAGUCUUGUGUUCCUUGCACCUUCGAGUUCCUGAUCUCGGCGUCCCCUCACCCAAAACUUACCACCUCGGGUAUACCCCACGGUGGGCAGCCAGUUAAACACCGACAGCUGGCGCGCCAGGUAGGGGAGCGCGUCGAAGAUCCACCGGCGAGCUCGAUGGCAUCGUUCAGAUUCAUCAGGUCAGUUCCCUCUCAGGGUACGACGUUCGUUUUUGGUUCAUGGGUCUGCAUCGCAGAUGGUGCGGGCAGUUUCCGGCGAUUCCUCGUCGACAUGAAGCCAAAAACCUCCGCUGCGGAUCUCCGCAGCGACCUUGACAAGUUCGUCGACGGGCUCGACAACUUGCCGCUCCACGCUUCCGCAGCGCAGAUCGAGUUGGAGUCCGAUCCAGCUUCGACUUCUUCUGGUGUUGUGGCAACUACCCCUGGUUUGGAUUCGUUCCAAUCUAGGGACCAGCACAACCGAUAUCAACUCGGUUUGUGCGAUUUGGCCACUAACCUUCAGGAGGCCCACGACUCUGGGUCCUUCUCCAUGUUUGAGAAGGACCUGGACUUGUUAAUCUAGAUCGGAAAGCUUGAGGCCACCACGUGUCGGGGGGCUUCGGGUUGUUCCGGUACCGGUGAUCUGGUGGUCACCCCCCUGCCGGAGGGGCACGUGGUGUACUGGAGGGGCAUGACGCUCCCCAAACUACUCGAGGCAGAGGGCCGACUCGUGGCCCACCUCGAGCCCUUGCCUUUUCAAGAAGGCAGGCCGUUGGCCACCGAGGCUGAGGGGUCGACUGAACUAGUCGACGAAAGUUCUCAUGAGCUUUCCUCCCGCCAGGUGCUGAUGGCCGAAGAAGGCGAGGACGAUGGGGAUUUUCCCAUCGACAACUUUGAAGCGGUCUCCGAGGAUGAGAUCACAGCCAAUGUCGGCGACGAAAAUGACACCGAUCGUGAAGCGCGGAGGGCCAGAAACAGGGCCCGCACAAUCCGGCGGAGGAGGGCCAACGAGCGUAGGAGAUCUAUGCAUCGUGAGCUUGAUCCUGAGUUCGCCGCCGUUAGCGAACGGGGGUUUCGGACUCCGGUGGCCAACAUCGCCAGGGUUACGGCCAUCCUUGAGCGCAGCCAUGACCCGAAGGUACGUCAAGCACUCUUGUACGCGCAGAGGGCUUGGAUCCAGUUGGAUCAACACAACCCGGCGCUUACCAUCAGGGAGGAGCGCGUGGGCGACAGUCGAAGUCAGAACCACAGCCGAGCGGCUGGCGGCUGUCCUCGACGUCAACCCAGCAACGACAACGCUUGCGGGAGCCAGACCCCUGGCGGGAGGCAGCAGCCACCGCAAGGGGGUCAGCCACGACAAGCCCAUCAUCGACUCCCUCCGGAGGAUCUGCGCCAACACAUCAAUGAAGGCCGCGAUGCGCGCACCGUGAUUUCUUCCAGGCGCAAGACCCGUGAAGAAGUUGAGAAUGAAGGUACUGAUUGUAGCGAUCGAUUUCCUACUUUUUCUGCUCGUUUCAGCAGCUACAAGUACCCGGAGGGCUUCAAGCCGAUCGGUAUCACCAAGUACGACGGCAAGUAGGCUCCCCAGCAGUGGCUUCGUUGCUACUCCACGGCCAUUGACGUCGCGGGGGGCUCAAAUAUCACCAAAGUCGUCUACUUCCCGAUGGCUUUGGACCCUGCGCUGCUCACUUGGCUGGAGAGCCUCGGCAGCAACACAAUCGACUCCUGGGAACGGCUUAAGAAAGUCUUCAUCGACAAUUUCCAGGGAGCGAUCACUCGUGCAGGUACUCGACAUGAUCUUGCCCAGUGCAAGCAAGAACGCAACGAGCUCCUGCGAUCCUACACGCGUCGCUUCUUCGACGUCCGCGCCACUAUCGCGAACAUCUCGGAAGAAGACAUCAUCGACUGUUUCUACAACGGCAUCACCGACCCCAGCAUCUACAGGGAUUUCAAGCGGAACAGGCCAAAGACUGUUGCGGGCCUUCGUGACAUGAUGCACGAUUGGUCCGAACAAGAGGAGAAGAUGCGGGAGCGGUUCCCGCGGCGUCAAGAUAACAAUUUGCGGCGCCCAAACGACAACCGCAAUGACACAAGCCAGCGGGACUUUUCGGGUUCACUCCGAAAACGAAAGCCAGAUAAUGUUAUCGCGGCUAUCGAUCGUCCUUCGCGGGGCAAGAAGUCGACGACGCAGGAGGAGUUCGAGAAGUUCCUGCAGAAGAAGUGCCCAUGGCAUCCGGGCGCUAGCCAUGCCGCCAUUGACUGCUACCACCUUCGGAGGACGUUCAGUAACACCGGUGGUGGAAAGAAGAAUAAGAAGCCUGCCGACAAAGAACCCGAGGAUGACGAUCACGACGACCAGGGGCGUAAUCCGAAGUUUCAGGAUGCCUCGAAGGUCGUCAACGUUAUCUUCGGCGGUGAUGAGGAGUUCGAGGCCUACGUGGACGACGUGGUCAUCAAGACCAGGGAGUCCGAUAACUUGAUCACAGAUCUGGAAGAAACUUUUAGCAGUCUACGCAGAUAUCGGUGGAAACUCAAUCCCACCAAAUGCGUUUUUGGAGUACCUUCAGGGAAAUUGCUCGGGUUCAUUGUCAGCAACCGGGGCAUCGAAGCCAACCCUGUAAAGAUCACGGCCAUCACUGAUAUGGAGGCUCCGGCCACAGUCAAGGAUGUGCAGAAGCUGACAGGUUGUAUGGCGGCCUUGAACAGGUUCAUCUCCCGACUCGGGGAGAGAGGACUACCUUUCUUCAAGCUCCUAAAAUGCCAAGACAGAUUCCAAUGGACGGAGGAGGCCGAGCGGGCCCUACAAGACCUGAAAAUUCAUCUCCAGUCGCCUCCGAUCCUCACCGCUCCGCUACCGGAAGAGGACCUACUACUCUACAUUGCGGCAACAACCCAUGUUGUCAGCAGCACUAUUGUAGUCGAGCGAGGCGAAGAAGGCCAUGCGUUUGGAGUGCAGAGGCCCGUCUACUUCGUCAGCGAGGUCCUCUCCGAGUCAAAGGUACGGUACCCAGCAGUUCAAAAGCUCUUAUAUGCAAUUUUAAUCACAUCAAGGAAGUUGCGCCAUUACUUCGACGACUACAAGAUCACUGUGGUUACGAAUUUCCCGCUGGCGGAUAUUCUUCAUAAUCAAGACGCCACGGGACGCAUAUCUAAGUGGGCAGUAGAACUGGGGGCUCUGUCAAUCGACUUCAAGCCACGCACUGCAAUCAAGUCACAGGCUCUAGUCGACUUCAUGGCUGAAUGGAGGGAGAAUCAAGUCCCAACCCCAGUGGACAAGCCAGAGCACUGGACCAUGUACUUUGAUGGAUCCCUCAAGCUCGACGGCGGGGGUGCUGGUGUCUUGCUUAUCUCCCCACGAGGUGAGCAGUUGAAAUACGUCCUUCAGAUCCUGUGGGCGGUAUCCAAUAAUGAAGCCGAGUAUGAAGCCUUGCUUCACGGGCUUCGUUUGGCGAUAUCACUAGGGAUCAAGCGACUACUUGUAUAUGGCGACUCUCUUCUUGUUGUUCAGCAGGUCAAUAAGGAAUGGGACUGCAACAAGGAGACGAUGGAGGCAUACGUUCAGGAAGUGCGCAAGCUGGAAAGCAAGUUCUCCGGCUUGGAGGUCCACCAUGUGCUACGAGAACACAAUGUUGGUGCAGAUAUCCUGUCCAAACUGGGGUCAACACGCGCUCAAGUCCCACCGGGAGUCUUCGUCCAGGAGCUCGCUCAGCCAUCCAUCAAGCCUUCUCCGCCGGUAACCAUCGACUCGGGUCCCCAACAACCCGACCGAGAGGUUCUGAUGCUGGGGGAGGAUUGGCGAGCGGCCUUUAUCGACUUCAUUCAAGACCAACGGCUACCGGCGGGAAUUGACGCCAAGAGCGCAGAAGCGGCACGCAUCUCGCGAAGGAGCAAGGGCUUCGCCCUGGUCAAAGGCACGCUCUACAGGCGUGGCGCUCGGUCAGGAGUUCUCAUGAAGUGCGUCACGAAGGAGGACGGUUACAACAUACUGCGGGAGAUUCACGAAGGCGUCUGUGGCAACCAUGCGGCAUCAAGAACGCUGGUUGGGAAAGCGUACAGGGCUGGUUUCUGGUGGCCCACCGCAGUCACCGACGCGGAGGAUCUCGUGCGCAGGUGCCAAAAUUGUCAAUUCUUCGGCAAACAGACACAUGUUCCGGCCCAUAGCCUCAUCACUAUACCGCCAUCUUGGCCGUUUGCUUGUUGGAGUCUCGACAUGAUCGGGCCCUUCACGACGGCGCCAGGCGGUUUUACCCAUGUGCUGGUGGCUAUCGACAAGUUUACGAAGUGGAUCGAGUACAAGCCAAUCGCCAAGCUCACGCCAGAUCGGGUUGUUGAUUUCAUCUCAGAUAUCUUGCAUCGUUUCGGCUUCCCCAACACCAUCAUCACGGACUUGGGGUCAAAUUUCACGGCCAACCAGUUCUAGGAAUUCUACGAGAAUGCUUGCAUCGAAGUUAAGUAUGUCUCAGUUGCACACCCGCGGGCCAAUGGACAAGUCGAGUGGGCGAACGGCUUGAUAAUCGACGGCCUCAAGAAGCGGCUAUAUGACGAGAACAGCAAGAAGGGAGGCAAGUGGGUACACGAGCUGCCGCAUGUAGUCUGGGGGCUUCGGACUCAGCCGUCCAAAGCCACAGGCCAAACACCUUUCUUCCUUGUAUAUGGAUCCGAAGCCAUUUUACCAGCCGAUAUCAUGUGGAAGUCCCCGAGGGUCGAAAUGUACAAUGAAGGCGAGGCGGACGAGGCGCGGCAGUUAGAGCUCGACUCUGUGGAAGAAGCUCGUUGCACCGCUCUUGUCCAGUCAGCCCGGUACCUACAGGGGAUCCGCCGAUACCAUGAUCGCAACGUCAAGGAGCGGUCAUUCAGUGUUGGCGACUUGGUCUUGCGUCGUAUCCAGGACGAAUCUGGCCUACACAAGCUCAACUCAAGGUGGGAGGGCCCGUUCGUCGUCAAGCAGGUCACACGGCCAGGGUCGUAUCGACUACAGUGCCCCGAAGGCCAGGACAUCCCAAAUUCCUGGAACGUCCAACACCUGCGCAAGUUCUACCCAUAAGCAAAUGCCCGGUGAUAUCCGAAUUCCCCGGGGGCUUGAAGAUCUCCUUUCCUCGAUUCAUAUUGGAGGCUUCGAGCCACAAUAUUCGGAUUGAACACCCCUUCUCCGGCGACAACAGCCACGGCCACGGGCGAAACUCUCGUGUAAGCUGGCUACUCGUCGUGAAUAAAGUUAUGACUACAUUCACAACUUAUCGACUUCAUUUUUUGUCGAACCACCCGCUCCGGCUACAACUCCUCGAUAUAUCGAGUUCCGCCACGACCUUAGGUGGUCGCACGCGACUGAAGUCGCACUUUGUCCAACUCAGUUGAUCCGCUCGACUGGCUAAAAAACAGCGCGUUGGAAAGGCUCGCAUAAAGAGCCACCUCGACUACAUCAUGAGUGGCUGCACUCAGAACAGUCAUUUUCUUUUUGCCAAAAGAAUGGCCAAAAUGCGGCAAGAACCGCACCUGCUCCUAGCAAGCUCGAUCCGUCCGCCCGGGUCUCACUCAGCUUACGGAGCACGCUCACAAACACGAGCGAUCUUCGACUACAAUCAGAGUCGCCGCACUCGAGCUAGUCCUAACUUUUCGCCCUACGCACAGCGACCCCGCGACGAUGCUCGCGUUCUUCCCUAACAAGUCUAGACCCGCUCGAUCGAGUUGCGGCUACUCUGUUAGACGAUUUCUAGCUGCCCUUCGGGUCGUUGCACCCAAGGACGCGUCUCUACUCGAGUCUCGUGAGCCUGGAUCCCAAUUCAGCUAAGACAUGCAAACAAGUAGAGAUGUCAAGGGAAGCAUUUACAUAAGAGAAUGAUUAAGUGUUUUAUACACCCUAAUCCUGCAGUACAUUGUGUACAAUCUGUUCUGCUACGGGUUGGGCCUCUUGCAGGUACUCCUCGAACCGCUCGUCCGAGCAGUCCGCCGCCAUCCCUUGCGCGAAGAUGCUCAGCUGCGCAGUCGGCACGAAGGACUUGACGUAUGCAAGGGCGUUGCUUACGCAAGCAACAGGAGCUUCGGAUAAGUACUUGAGCAUUUUCUUUGGGGCCUCACGAAGCCGUCCCAGCAGAGGCCGCGGGCCGGCCUCGCCUUCUUCUGGCGGGUCCACCAUGUCCACCAGUUCCUGGGCGGCUCCCUGGAGGUCCUCCAGCUCCUUGCGCCGCUGCUCGUCCCUCUCGCCCAACGCUUUGACUUGCUGAAGACAGUCGACGAACUGACGUUCAGUGUCGUCGAUCACCUUCUGCAGCCUUUCGACUUCAUCUGUACGACGAUACAGCAUAUUCUUCACGUCAGUAAGCAGCUCCUCUUUGUGUUUUAUUACUUUCCUAAGCUCUGUGGUAAAGUUGUUUCAGCAAGCAAGUGAAAUCGCUAAGGAAAAAGUACUCGAGGGAAGCGGGGGCCUACCUUGGUGCGCCUUCUUUUCUGCCUUGAGCUGCUCCUGGUACUCUGCUUGUUGCUCCUUGACCCGUUGUUGGAGCUCGGAGUUGGCCUUUUCAAGGUUCUUCAGGUCAUUCUUGAGCAGCCAGGUCUCUCGAGUCCUUUCCUGCUUCAGCAUGUCAAGCUCGCGCUGCAGAUAGCAGUUCUUCGUCUUCUCCUCGGAGAUGCGCUUGUGCAGGGCACCUAACUCCCGCGCGUCACUCACAACCGCGCGGAGUUUCUCCGACUUCUUCUGGGAUUUCGUAAUCACAUGCUGCACCAAAGGAGGAGAAUGAGUACUUAACAACUCACCAAUGCACGCACCCGGAACUUCACGCGAGCACUACCAUGGAGAAGUCGUAUAACUCCUUGAAGGUGCUCUUGAAGGUCUUCAGGUUCUCGGCCGUUAGCAGACGAUCAUCCACCAGGUCGGUGGUGAUGAUGUUCUGGUACCCGGGCCCGGUCCUCAGCACCUCACGGGGACUCUCCGAGGGCCCGGCGGCAUCCCCGGACGGCGGCGGCUGGACACCUGCAAGCAUACGAAGUAGUCACCACAUUGUCCCCGGACCCCGGCAUCAAGCCGCAGGCGGGUAAGCGCGUACCUGUACCACUGGUAGGAGCGGCAUCAGGGGCCACGACUUGUUCCUUGCCACUGGGCCCGGCUCCCUCUUGCCAGGACCUGGGAGGCGGCAAGUUGGGGAGCCCCGCAUCCGCUUCCGGGGCCGCGACUUGUUCAUCGCCACCGGGUCCGGCUCCUUCUUGUCGGGACUCGGGAGGCGGCAAGUCGAGGAGCCCCGCAUCUGCUUCAGGGGUCACCUCUGCGGGUACAGGCCCCCCAGGCGCCGAGGGCUCGGGGGCUGCUGCAGCUGAGGCAGGCGCCGCAGCCCUGCCCGGUUCCAGCUGGAGUUGCACCGCACUUGCAGCCCUGGCGACAUCGACAACAUGGUUAUCCACGCAGGAGCGGCCAAGCUUUUCAAGCGAUUGAAGCAAAACUUACAGUGUCGACUUCUUCUUGGCAGCCUUCUUCACCCGCCAGGCGCGACGGGGGACACCCGUCGCGGAUGGCGGGGUCUGGUCGGCCGGCGGAGGGGUCCCCGCCACGGCGAUUGUCACCGUCGUGGCGGCAGAAGGGCCCGCCUCCACUCCUUCGGGCUCAGUCCCGGGCGGCGGAGCAGGGAGGCUGCAAGGGGACGCUGUCAGCACUCAGCACCAUGGAAACUUUGGACUUGGCCAAAACAGCAAUUCCGUACCUGGAGGACUCAACUUCUUGAGCCUUGCGUUUGCGCACCUGGCGCUGGCCCUUCGGCACCGGUGGCAGAGCGCCGGUCAACUCCACGCUCUGAUCGGAGGAGUUGUCCCCGCGCAGCUCCCCCACGGUCUCCUCGCUCGCCUGCGAGCCCACGCACCCGGUGGACUCGCUGCUGCCUUGAAGCGCAGCAUGACGAGCCGCCUUGGUGGCAACGGCGGCAACAGGGCACGGACCUCCCUCGGCUUCUUCCCCCGCUGGCAAGACCACGCGUUCGGCGGCAUCGUUGCGGCUCUGGAUCGCAGCAAGGCGAGCCUUCUUGGCCGCCGUGGCUGCAGAGGGAAGGAGGUGAUACGCUCAGGGGAGGUCCGGCUGCGGCGGGUAGCUGCAGUACAGUUCCGAAUGUCCCUGCAGAAAGUCCCUCAGUUCAGUACCGGCGCAGUAGUCGAUUUCUUCGGCAAAAGGAGUCGAGCACUUACCGGCGGGGGCAGAUGUUGCGCGGAGUACAGGGUGGGCACGUACGGCACGGUGUUCACGUCCAGCAGCACCCGUUGAACCCGCUGGAGCGCGACUUCAUCUGGCACCUCCUCUGUGCACAUGCGAGAAGGGUCAGCAGAGCCGGUGUACUCGAAGCCUAGGCAACAUCUCUGCUGGAUGGGUUGGACGCGGCGCUUGUAAAAGGAGAACAUGACGGAGGCGCCGGUCACCCCCUCCUUCUUCAGCGCGUCGAUGGCCUCCAGCAGCUCCUUGACUUGAAUCAUUUCCAUGCUGGAGGGUUCAAGGAUCCAUUCCCCCCUCACCACGGGCGGUUUGCUCGACUUCGUCGGCAGGGGGGGAGCAUGGUUUUCGAUGUAAAACCAGAGGUUCUUCCACCCAGGGAGGUUGGAGGGAAAUCUAUAUGCAAGGUAUUUUUCGCCGGACUGCUGUCGCAGUUGGAUGCCGGCGCCCCCUACCACAGCGAGUUUUUUCGUGGUUGGCUGGGGUUUCACGCGGAAGAGGAAGCGAAAUAGAUCCCAGUGGGGUUCAAUUCCGAGAAAUGCUUCGCAAAAGUGGAUGAAAAUGGAGAUGUGGCAGAUGGAAUUCGGGUUGAGGUGAUGGAGCUCAAGCCCGUAGUAGUAAAGAAGGCCGCGGAAGAAAGAACAAGUGGGGAGGGCCAAUCCCCGUUCGGCAAAAUGGUAGAAUGUGACGAUUUCGUCGACAUUCUCCAUGGGGAAAGGUUCACGGAAAGAGGGGCGCUAGUUGACGAGAUUUUUCUCUUGCAGCAACCCCUCGGAAACAAGUUUUUUCAGAUUGUUGAGGGAGCACUUACUGUGUGUCCACUCCGCGGUUGUUGGUUCCGCAUCCUUCUUCAUUCCCUCGAUCUCUGACUUCUUGGACGUCAUCUCCAAUGCGCCGGCCAUGAGAUGCUCGGGGGCUGCGGGGAGAGGGGCGGGGAGGUCGGGGUGGGAGUUCUUCUUGGGGGAAGGCGGCGGCGCUUGGUUUGGAUUGGGGAAUUUGGUGGCUCUUGAUGGAAUGCAGAUUGAAAGCGUGGUUUUUCCCUCUAGUUAUCGCAGGGUUAAAUAACCAGCGGAGUGGGGGAAAGUUACUGUUUUGAAGAUCAAGAGUCGUUUCGUGGACUAUUCCGAAGAUGAGGGGUCAUUUGGUGAUCUGAUUAGAUUGCAUAUUUGAUUAAUCAUUUUUUCAGGGCUAAUUAGCCCGAAAAAAGGGGUUUUUCGAAUCUUUGGUCUAAUUACAUCAUUUGUACCAUCGCUUCGUUCUUUUCUUAACGUGCCAUUGUUUCGCCUGUAUGCCACGAUUUUUGGACCCUUAUCUCCAACUUUGUGGGAUUUGGAUUCAAGGCUCAGGGGCUGCGGGGUACGUGGCAUCGACUACUUAUUUUUCAAAUUUCUUUGACGGGUAAGGAAGACUACUGACAAGUGGGACCCUCAGCCUGAUUCUCCGAUUCAACCUAAGGCUCGGGGGCUACUCCAUAUGGAGUGCGAUUUUGCAAUCGCACGCCAUAUCAGAAAUAAAAUUCGGGGCAUGAGCACCUCAUAGCUUCGAUGCAGCCAAGCAAGUACUCGAAGAAGGACUUCAAGACGAAUCAUCAGAAAGAAGUCGAAGACUGCUUCGAAAGUACUCGAUAAGCCUGCAAUACUCAGCUACGAAGAGCUCGGGGGCUUGUCAGACCCGGGGCCACCGGGCUGGGCGCGUUACGAAGUUUAAGAGAUUAAGCCCGUCUCAUCUCUUAUUCGUUUUGUUUAUCUCUUGUUUAUCCCGUUUAAAUAGGAGAUAGAGCUAACCAACACAGAGAGGAUCUACUCGAGAUCAGUUCUGGUGUGAUCCCUCGGAGGGGGUUGGUUAGCAUCUUUGUAACUCUGACCUCUCGGAUAUAUAAGGGAGGUCAGGGACCCCCCUCAAAACAGAAGAUCAUUAGGUCAUUCUAUACAGAAGGCAAUACAAACCAUACAGGACGUAGGGUGUUACGCUCCGUGCGGCCCGAACCUGUCUAAGUCUUGUGUUCCUUGCACCUUCGAGUUCCUGAUCUCGGCGUCCCCUCACCCAAAACUUACCACCUCGGGUAUACCCCACGGUGGGCAGCCGGUUAAACACCGACACAGGACAGGCGGGGUAGAUACUUCUGAUUUGGUGGACUUUUUAUAUUUAAACUGUUUUUGUAUGAUACUAUUUUAUUUUUAAUGGAUUGAUGUAAUGUACUAUCAUAAUAUUUGGAUUCUACGUUGCAAAACGUUAUCGUUUAACCAUCUUCAUACGAGUUUUAGAUACAGUAAUCUUCUUCGUAAAAUUGAAUUAAAAUUUUAUAAGCAUUCAAAAGAGUAUGGUGAAUAAAUAUUGUAUUUGAAAAAAGUAUGAAUUUAAAAUAGUAUGUAAAACAAGAAUUCGAACAGAUAAGAAAUUCAGAAAAUGGCAACUUCCCGUUGGGUGGCCGGGAUGCCUCAGGGGCCUCUUCGUGAAUAAGAAACUUUUCUUAUUUGCGAAUAGGCCCUCAGGAGGCCCUCGGGAGGGGCCUGGAAAGAAUUCUCGGACCUCCCGCCUAUUGGAUGGGCUGGAGGUCGCCUCCCGCCCAUUGAUCGGGCGGGAGGCACCCAUUUUUCAAAAUUUUUCAAUACAGUACCCCUUUUUCAAAUUUAAUUUUUUAUCCCUUUCUUAAAAAAAAGUUAUUAAUGCAUGGCGACUGUUAACACAUCGCCUCCCGGCAAACAAUGUACAAAAUGGGCUUUGCCUCGGGAGAAGGCCUCCGUGUACCCUGGAGUCUGCUUCUUCUUCUCGUGGGGCAGCGUUGGGCUCGACCCAGCCCUCCUUCCAGCUCCACCCCCAACCCUUUUUGUUUUUUUUUCUUCUGCGCUUGUAACACGUCAGGCCAAAUGGCCACAGUGCAGACAACAAGAGAUAAAGAUCUUCCACAGUAAAGCAAGAAAACAAACCUUGCAAGUGCAAGUUGUCCUCCACAUGAGCGCACUCGUAUGGUAGUAAAAGUGUUGGCGGAGCAACACCUCUAGCUCUUUCUCUAAAGAUGAAAAGAAACAGAGCGCAUUCAUUGCUGAAUUGCUAUGAAUACAAGCGCGCGUUCAGUGGUAAUGCACGUUCCCGCGCACUGAGGGUAAUAGUGUCUCCAAUCUUUUCUCUACCAUGUGUAUGAACGGUGUGAGUGUUGUGUACGUCCUUGUAUGUACCCUUAAAAAGAUCCCCAAACAAUCUCAGAAACCUCUUUGCGGGGUGAUGCCAAAAGAGGAGUACGAGAUGCCCUUUUGAUCUCUCCGAACACCUGGUGGACGUGUGUGCAAAAACCAAGCCUAGCUAAGAUGCAGCGGCCGAACACAGUUGGGCGUGAGAUCACGAUGCAGACGGCGGACGGGCGGAGGGAUAGUUCCACGGCCAUCCCCAUCUCCAUUUUCCGGCGAAGGGGACGGAGCAACUUGCGGGAGGCCAUACAUGUGUGACUCCAUGAGGCUUACAGAUUUUAGAUCACUGGCAUCCCGGUUGCUCUACGAUCUAGUCGCUAUCGUCUUCGCAAAUCUCUGCUGGAUUGAAACCGGGUCAAUGUCGACGAUCGAGAGAGAGAUGGCCGUAGCUCGCAUCGCAAUCUCGUGAAAAGCAAGAGACCUUUGCGACGGCGCUGCCUUUUGUCCGCCACGCUAAUCCAACAAAGCAACUCCACGUAAAAGCCAUUCUAAAGCUUGACGACGGUAGGUAACGACCAUACACACUCAAGAAACAGAUAUGCAAAAAAAAAUGUGCUACCUCUGUUCUAAAAUAUAAUAACUUUUUAACCAUCUCUAUCACAAAAUAUAAAAACUUUUUAACCAAGUUAAAGUUAAAUAUUUUCAUCUUUAACCAAUAAUAUCUAAAAAAUAAUUACUUUUAAAUAGAAAAGGUUAUAUAUUGGUUUCAUUAUGAACAAACUAAUAUCACUUUUAUAUCAUCGAUGUUUAUAUUUUUUUUACCAUCUACGGUCAAAGUUUGAAAGGUUUGGUUUGAACAAACCUAAAAAUAGCUAUAUUUUGAGACAGAGGUUGUGGGAAGAAAAAAAUCAGUUGGCACUAAAAUCAUGGAUAACAGGAUAGGAAGUGAGCAUAGCUCAGUUACAAAUGUGACAGUAGUAAUAUCUGAACCGCCAAAGUUCAAUUCCUCCACACCUCAAUUUUAAGUGCCUAUUUCUUCUCUCUAAUCUCAUUUUCAGCGGUGAAUUAAAUCACCACCUAGUUCCUUCAAGAUUGGAUUUCGAGCGGCAGCAGGACAAGAAAAUGACAAAGUAAAAUUGCUGUAUCCAGCCUUCCAGAAGCAGAGCAACAAGCCCAGAGGGGCAAGUGAAGGAUGCAGUAGUGGUCAACCAUAGUUGAGCUUCAGAUCAUGCAUGACACGGACGCUGGAUGUUCCUUUGCCGCGGCCGUCUCCAAUGGCGACGACGGGGAGCAACUUGUAACGUUGCAGCCUAACUUUAUUAGUAGCGUCCCUGUUGCUUGCAACUGCAGAGCUGCAAUGCAGUCGCUUUCGCCUUCAGAAAUCUCCACUGGAUUUAUUUAAGCCGGGUCAAGGUCCACGAGAAAGAUAGCGGUUGCUUGCAUCGCAAUCUGACUGGAAUUGGCGGGAAGCUGCAGGCGAGGAAAAUGAUAGGUGAUUAAUUAUUAAUCAAGUUACCUGCCUGCUUCCUUCCUCACAUCUUCACGCCGUCUUCGCAUACAGGUCGUGCUUGGUUACCGGCCACCACUCGCCACGCACGUGUUGCGUAGCGAAUUGUGGCCGGUAACCAGGCCCAUAUUUCCCUGAUUAACCAGUGGUGAGAUUCUCUCCAAUAGCACAACUACAUUAAGUUGGCCUUGAGAUCUCUUCUACGUUUUCCUUUUUUGAUCAUCCUUUUGUUUCUGUCAUAACUUUUUAUGGUGAUGAUGUUGUGAUCACAUCUAAUAUAUAUGGGUGAUAAAUCAAUCUACUUUCCCCAUAGAUAUACACACACAAAACAAAAUGAUUAAAGCGCACUUUUUGUCAUAACUUUUUAGAUAAGAAAAUGCAGCAUAUUAGUUCCUUUUCAGAGCUGAGAUGCUGCAUUUUUGCUCUUUUUCAGAUAGCCACUGAUGAGCACGUGCUAUUGCCCAAGGCAUGAGAAUCAAAUGCCCCCUUAAUUUUCGAGGAGAUGCGAGAACAAAUGGGGAGGGCCCCCCCAUGUCCCAUAUCAUGAGAUCGAGACUAAGAAACCCCGCCCAUCCAAUCCAACAGCCACCAGAGCAUCAAGAUUAGUUUGACCGGGCUCAGCAAUUCCAGCCAGCCUUUUCCCCCACGAUUCCACAUACUCUAUGCACGCCGCCUUGUCCUGCUUCGCUAGCUGCUUCCGGUCGCCGACAAUGUAUUCCCCAAAGAAAACGAGAAGAAAACAGUGCCACUGCUGGUAUCCGUCGUCAGGAAACUUCAAAUGAAAAAUCGAGGCAACGACCGGGUCCUAGUUUAUUUUCCGCUCCUGAUCCGCGUCCACGUUGUAGACUUGUAGCAUGUACGUACAAGCUGUCCUCGAGAGACAGAGUGAGAAAAGGAAAGAAAAUGCUUCUGCUAUAUGGAAGUGGAUAGAGGAAUCUUCGUCGCAGCCGUGAACAUGCCCCUGCUUGUCCGAACCACCACCCGGCAUUCCGCCUGUUUCCAACCCCAACCGCUCCUGCCUUGGACGAACACAGCAGCUUGCCAUGCAGGUCGUUGCAUGCCCAUCUCCCAUCUCCCAAGUCCAAACUGGCAGGUGAAAUCGACCCAGCCUCCUUUCCUUCCCAUGAGCUCGGCAGAAAUAGGGGCACGUUGUUGACCACCUAAAUGUCUAAAUUCGUUUUUCAGAAAAAAAAGUCACAAAGCACACCUUUUGUUGUGCUCAUAGUGAGUAUAAUUUACUUGUUAACUAGGAGUGGAUUAUCCUCAAGAGGGCACAUCAUCUAGCCUUUGAUUUCUUUUUUAAAUCUGAUUUGUUCGAAAGUUCUUGCGGUGGUGGGAGCAUAUCCCAUAUGAGUACGCGAUUAUUUCCGUGAAAUUUGCGUGACAUGAAUACAGAGGGAGUACUACUUUUGUCCAAACGCACCUAAAUGAGAAAGAAAAAAAUCCUAGUGGAACGCUCAACGGGUCUUGCAUGUAAUGUGCUUUUCUUCAAACAAAUUGAAAUCACGUAUAUUGUCGUUUGUUUCAGCUAGCGCGCGAGUGCCAAAUAGAAACAGAAUUUUCAUCAGUACCAUUUUAUGUUCUACUGAAUUGGGGUUUGGGCGAGCUUACAAUGGCGAAGCUAUAUAGUAUCCAGGGGGGCACAUGCACCCACACAAAAAAUGCAAAAUAAAUGACUAGGAGUAAAUUUUCACCAUGUAUAAUGAUCAAAUCUAGUUUUUUUAAAAAAAAUUAUCCCACGUACUCUUUAGUCAAUGAAGUUAACUAGAAUGUUUGGAUCGCAUCAGAAACUUAAGAGCACACAAAGUUAAGUUCAGACCUUCUAGCACUCUAAUGGCAGAUACAGCUUAGCUCAUUGCAAGGUAUUACAUACACACCAUCACUCCGCCACCAAGUUCUUGCUACUUAUCGUGGCCGCCACCUCGAGCUUCUUGUUGGUGGUGUCGCAUGGAUUGUCGCGGCAGCUCCAGCGGAACGCGAGCUGCUUGCCGCAUGAGAGGGAAGCGUUGCUCCCUUCAAGGAAAACAUCACCCGCGACCCUGAUGGCACCCUCAAGUCGUGGCGGCGAGGGCGGAAUGACGGCUGCCGGUUGAUGGCAUCCUCAUGCGGGCCUUCUUCCAUUUUCGGAAUAUUUUUUAAAAAAUUUUGGAUACCUGACGCUUUAGUAAUGGUUAGUGUUUAUCAACCGAAUAUUAAAGGUACUUUUAGUACAAGAUCAUAUGACCGGUACUAAUGAUUGGUCUUACACUUUUAAGUAAUUUUGAAUAAACUUCUUUGCGGUUAGUACGUCUAAAUUUAUUGUGAAAAUAGCUGAAAAUUGUGUGACAUGAAUGCAUGAGGGAGUACUACUUUGGUCCAAACGCAGCUAAAUGAAAAAGAAAAAAAAAGCACAACAGACCUUGCUCUAGUUUCGUCACUCUGAGCAUACAAAUCUUUAUGAUCCAAAUGUAGUACCUAGGUAUGUGGUCAUGGGACAAGGUCUACCGAUCGAUCAAAUCUCCAACAAGCGCUCAUAGCUGGUACUUGUUGUGAUCGUUUGUAAAAAUUUGUUUAAUAAAACUUGUCCUCCAUGCAUAUGUGUGAAGGAAAAAACGUUGUGAACAUGGUCUGUCUGUCCAAACCCGGCAUUCCGCGCCUGUUUCCAACCCCAACCGGUCCUGCCUUGGACGAAACACAACAGCUUGCCAGGCAGGUCGUUGCGCAGGGGGACCAAGAUCAGACCGUGCCCAGAUCCCAUCUCCCAAGUCCAAACUGGCAGGUGAAAUCGACCCGGCCUCCUUCCCUUCCCUUCCCAUGAGCUCGCGAAUUAAUCUCUAUUUAUGCAAUUAGUUUUAUAUUAAUCUAUAUUUAAUAUUUUUAAUUAGUAUCUAGACAUCCGAUACGACAGAGACUAAAGUUUAAUCAAAAGUAUCUAAAUAGCUCCUAAGCCGGACGCCGAGGCAUUUCCGGUGGUUAAAGAAAUCCGUCCAAGCAAGAGACUCGCCUUAAUAGCAGUGACUAUAUGAUUUCCUUUUCUUCUCUACUGGUUAAUCGUUAAAGUAGUAGAGUGUUGUUGACCACGCCAAUAUCUAAAAGCACACAAUUUUUAUGCUAUAGUGAGAAUAAUUUACUUGGUUAAUUAGGGGUGGAUUAUCCUCAAGAGAGCACAGCAUCUAGCCUUUGAUUUAUCUUUUGAAUGUGAUUUGUUCGAAACUUUUUGUGGUGAUGGGAGCAUAUGAUACCCCAUUUGAGUAUGCCAUUAUUUUCGUUUCUUUUGUGAAAGGAUAUGUAGCUUUUUACUCUCAUCAAGAUAGGCAAAAUCAGCGAAAGGAUACAGUACGUCAGUACUGCCAAUACCAAAAAUAGCGGUACUACGAUAUUCCCAACUGAGCUCCUUUUUGGCAUAUAUAGAUAUAGUAGCUGCUGCUGCUACUGCUCGAGCAUAAGAAUCAGACGGUCCCUUUUUCCAGGUGACGCGAUAGCAAAUGGGGAGCGACCGAGCGAGGGCCCUCCCAUGCAAGGACGGGGUGUCAGAUUGAGAAAUCCACGGCCAAUCCAGCGACCACCGAUCAUCGCACGUUUGGUUUGGAAGGCUAAACUUUAAUCUCAUCGUAUAAAAAAAUCUUACUAUUUAGAAGUAUUAAAUAAAAUUUGUUUAAUUUUUUCACACAUGAGUGCUAAUUCGCGAGAUGAAUUUAAUAAACCUAAUUAAUCUAUGAUUUGCAACAGUGAUGCUACAUUAACCAUCCGCUAAUUAUUGAUUAAUAUACUUAUCAGAUUCAUCUCGCGAAUUAGCCUGGAGAUUCUGCAAUUAUUUUUAUAAUUAGAUUUUAUUUAAUACUCCUAAAUAAUAAUAUUUUUUUGAUGUGAAAGGGCUAAAGGUUAGCCUCGGGAACCAAACACCCUCUUCUUAGGGAGUGGAACAUCCCUAUGAUUAAAAGUUUUGUCGCGGCAGCUCCAGCGGAACGCGAGCUGCUUGCCGCAUGAGAGGGAAGCGUUGCUCCCUUCAAGGAAAACAUCAUCCGCGACUCUAAUGGCAUCCUCAUGUCCCAUGCUGCAACUUUCACUGGAUAUUUCCUUUCAAAAAAAAUUCACUGGCUACAGUGACCAGCAGGACAACGGUUCCAAGCUUCUCAGUACAGAAUCAUUGUUGCGGUAUACUGUCCUUUCUCCGUACUGUAUCCAGCUGAAAUGCUUCCAAAAUUCUAUUGUGACUUGUAUUUUUCCGAAUUUUCCUUAGUGGGUUAACGUUUUGUUGCCCAUUUGACACUCUUUUGCUAGAAUUUCAUAAGGAAGCCAAUUACUUGACGUGUAGUGCGUUGUUGUAACCCACAAGCUCUUGUAUUUACCAUCCUUUACCACCUCUAGUUACAUUGUUGUAUGUGUGAUUAUUCAGUUUUAUGUGGACCAUACAUGGCAUUCCAGAACUUGUGGUCACUAGUCUUUAUUUGAAUAUUCAACCACGUGGUCAACUUGUGGUGACAACUACACUACCAAGUAAUUUUCAUUUGCCGUGUCAUAUAAUCUCGAUUAGUGCCAUUUUAUAGUCUACUAAAUAGGUUUGGGCGAGCUCACAUGCACCCACACCAAAAUGCAAAAUCAACAAGCAAAUUUUCACCAUGUAUAAUGAUCAAAUUCUCCUAAAAAAUGUAUAACGAUCAAAUUCAUAAACCCACAAGGCAAGCGCACCCUUCUAAUUUGCUCUAACUUCACCAUUUGCAGGGUUACAAAUAUUUAUGAUCCAAAAGUAGUACCAUACGUCUGUGGUCAUGAGAUCAAGGUCUACCGGUCCAAUCUCCUACAAACAUUUAUAGAUGUGAGGAUAACUGACUGCGUGAAGAUCCCAGUUAUGAUUAUUUAUAAAAAAAAGUAUUUAACAAAACUUAUCUUCUCCGCGUAUGUGUGAUGGAAAAAGGCUGUCUAAUUGGAACCCCAUUUUCCUUGUGUUUACCAGCCAGUCAUGCUAGGUGUUACGUCGUUGUUAGUUGUUACUCGGUUUAUGUGGACCGCAACGUCUUAUUCCACAACUUUAUGUGGUCACCAGCCUUUGAAAAUUCUCCCACAUGCUCUUCUGUCAAUGAAGUUAGUAGAUCUUUGGAUCGCAGCAGGAAUUUAAGAGCACACACAGCUCAGACCUUAGCACUCUACUAGCAGAUAGCUUUGCUCAUUGCCAGGUACUGCGCACAGACCACACCACUUGCUAUGCAUCCCUCCGCUGCCAAGUUCUUGCUUCUUCUCGUGGCCGCCGCCUCGAGCUUCUUGUCGGUGGCAUCGCAUGGACUGCCGCCGCGGCAGCUCAAGCGGAACGCGAGCUGCUUGCCGCACGAGAGGGACGCGUUGCUGGCCUUCAAGGAAAACAUCACCGGCGACCUGAAGGCAUCCUCUCGUCGUGGCGACGAGGCGGAAGGGCUGCUGCCGGUGGAUGGGCGUCACCUGCAGCAACCAAACCGGCCAUGUCCUCCAGCUUGAUCUAAGCAUGGAAAUUUGGCAGGCCAGAUAAGUCCUUCCUUACUGUCUCUAGAGCAUCUGGAGCACUUGGAUUUAGGCGGCACACUUAUCUGGUCAUGAUGGUCGUUUUCCCGAAUUCCUGUGUUCUUUCAAAAACUUGCGAUAUCUCGCCUCUCGUUGUUGUCGUUUGCGAGCAGACUGCCUGCUCAACUUGGCAACCUUUCCACACUGGAAUACCUUGUCCUCACGCAUACUUUGCCGAGUGAGGUGCCGCCUCAGCUCGGUAACCUCUCAAACCUGCGAUGUCUUGUCUCGCUUCUAAUAUUUGUACACAACCGAUAUCUCAUGGUUAGUUCGUCUUCAUCAGCUUGAGUAUCUUGAUAUGGCUAGCAUAAAUCUAAGUACAAUAGAUAAUUGGCUUCAUGUGGUAAACAUGAUUCCAUCUCUGAAGUUUCUCUCCCUUUCGACUGCUCCCUUCCCAGAGCAAACCAAUCGCUCACUCACAUAAACCUCACAAAACUUGAGAUGCUUGAUUUAUCCUGAACUACUUUAGGCACCCAAUUGCAUCCAGUUGGUUUUGGAACAUAACAAGCAUUCAAUACCUCGAGCUAAGUUCAACCUAUCUUUACGGUCCUUUCCCUGAUGCACUAGGACGAAUGACGUCCCUCUCUUACCUGGGAUUUGAAAAUGGAAACUCAGCCACGAUGGCAGUAGACUUGAAAAAUCUAUGUGAAUUGUGUAUCUGUGGCUCGAUGGGAGCCUAUCAUCUGGGAACAUAACAGAGUUCAUAGAGAAGUUGCCACAAUGUUCUUCUAGAAAAUUAGACUACCUAAGUUUGAAUGACAAUAAUAUGACAGGAAUAAUGCCACAGGUAAUGGGCACUUAACCAGCUUAACUUCUUAGCCUAUGUAACAACAACAUUAGUGGAUCUAUAUCACCAGGGCUACAGAAUUUCACUAGUUUGGAGGAAUUAUUUCUCAGUUCCAACAACCUUAGUGGCCAGAUACCAUUACUGCCAAGAGGCCUCGAAAUAUUGGUUGUCUCCAUGAACUUCUUGUCUGGGCAUUUUCACUUCGGAGCUCCAAAUAUUGGAGUACUAAUUCUAUCCUCUAAUAAAAUUACUGGUCCUAUUCCUAAAAAGUUUUGUGAGUUGCAAUAUCUACGUCACUUGGAUUUGUCAAACAAUUCUUUCGCGGGAGAACUUCCUAUAUGUUCUUCGAUGCCCUCCCUACGCUCCUUGCUCCUAAGUAACAACGAAUUUUCUGGAAAGUUCCCAUCCUUGAUCCAAAGCCUCCCAAUCUAACUUUGCUUGAUCUUUCAUGGAACAAAUUCUAUGGGACAUUACCAAUAUGGAUCGGACAUCUGGCAGAGCUGCGAUUCCUAGAUCUGAGCCACAACAUGUUAUAUGGGAGUAUUCCAGUGAAUAUCACACAUCUUAGACAACUUCAACUCUUGAAUUUAUCAUUCAACAAUAUAUCAGGAUCAAUUCCUCAGUCAUUAUCAAAGCUAAUGGCAAUGACAAAAACGCAUAUGCCCGGACCUACUAAUGGACCUUAUUGGUACACAAGUUCGGAGAAUACU
rnacentral:lncRNA from 1 species